rnacentral:lncRNA from 1 species
GCGAUAGCGCCUAGUGCGAGUGGUUUUGAGGAUUGCGAGGAAGAGCAUCCAAAGCUAGAUUCUUGUAGUGAUUAUGUUAUGGAUCGGUGUGUGAUGAAGGAUAUGCCGCUCUCUUGGAUCUUUCCUCGGACUUGGGGGAAGAGAAGUUGUGAGGAGGUCCGAAACCAGUGUUGUCAGCAAUUGAGACAAACGACGCCGCGUUGCCGCUGCAAGGCUAUUUGGACAUCAAUCCAAGGUGAUCUAAGUGGCUUCAAGGGCGUUCAACAAGGUUUGAAAGCCAGAACGGUGCAGACGGCGAAGAGCCUUCCCUCCAAGUGCAACAUUGAUCCAAAAUACUGCAACAUCCCCAUCACUAGCGGAUAUUACUGGUGAUGUAGCUUCCAUUAGUGACCAAUAAACUAUCACAUACCACUGUAUGUGACCAAUAAAUGUGACCAUGGAAUAAUAUAUACUAUAGUUUCCCUUAUGUAUGUAUGUGUUUCUCUUACAAACAUCUAAUUAUGCAUGUGUCUAUCAAGAAAAUAAUGUUAAUUGUGCCAAUACAAAAGGAAUGUGUGGAAGUGCAUAUAGGCCUCUGUGUUUUGGUAUAGAUGGCGGAAAAUUAAAUGGGCUAAUUAGGGCGUACUUGUGAACAGAUUUUAGUCUCAACCGUGAAGGUUGUCGAGAAUCGAAGAACCCUCAAAAGUGAAAAUAACACAAGAAUGUGCCUCGGUAGAGGUUAUUUUAUAGGUUUUAUUCACAUUUCAUGAGUUUAGGGAUCCUCCACUAUUUAGAGGGGACGUGGUUGGUGAAGUGCAUGCUCAAGUGAUUUCUUCACUCAUAUAGCCUUCCCAUCCACCAAAGAAACCAAAGCAAAAAAGACUAUAAAUCAUAUUGUUUUCUUCUUGUCAAAGUGCUUCGAAUUUGCUGUCCGGACCGUUCGGAGGUGUGAGCAUGCAUAUGCUGAUCUGAGCACCCGUUAGACCAUUCGGGCACUACUCCGACCAAGUCUAGGGUUGCUUGGUUUGGCACUGAACCAACAUCAGGGAUGUGUCCGGGUCACUUGGUCUCAAUUUGGACCAUCCGGACCUAGGGCCAAUGACCAAGCCGAACCAAGGGCCGAUUCUAUGGCAAGACCGCCCAACGCCUUGUCUCGGUUAGUUCUGGUGUCGCUCGAUCUACUAGCUAGACUAUCCAUGCUGGAACAUGUUACUUUUGACAAUAACUUAUAUUAACAUGUUACUUUUGACAAUAACUUAUAUUAACAUGUUGGAACUCUCAGGCCUACUCAACUUCAUCGACGGGCUAUGGUCGGCAAGCGGCGGUGAGCGGAUCAUCAUCUUCACCACCAACCACAAGGAGAAGCUGGACCCGGCGCUAAUCCGGCGGGGUAGGAUGGACAAGCACAUCGAGAUGUCCUACUGCCGCUUCGAGGGCUUCAAGGUGCUCGCCAAGAACUACCUAGACGUGACCGAGCAUGUGUUGUUCGGCGAGAUCCGGCAGCUGCUCGAAGAGACCGAUAUGUCACCGGCCGACGUGGCAGAGAACCUGAUGCCCAUGUCAAAGAAGAAAAAGAAGGACCCAAACAUGUGCUUGGCAGGCCUCAUCGCGGCGCUCAAACAGGCCAAGAAAGACGCGGUGACGGUUGCGGCAGCGGCAAAGGCGAAGGAGGAAGAGGAGGCAGAAGCAAAGAAAACCAAGGAGAAAGAGGAACCCAAGGAAGACAAAUGAAUUAGCCAACCAAGACAUCAAACAAGUUUGAUUGCUCACUAGUGCUCGCUUACAACAACAAAAAUGAUGUAUAGUGUUUGUUCAAAUAAAUUAUGUAUCACUCAGCUGGAAUAAAAUGGUUUUGCUUUCUCUUCUCAAUGGUUAAUUCACACGGGAAGUUACCUUCAAAAAGUUGCUAUAUCUGAUACUACAAUGCAUAAUUCUAACAUUAUCUGAUACUACUAUUGCAAGUACACAGUGAACAUUUUCCUCAUUUUCUACAAAAGACAGUGAAAAUUCUGGCGUAUAUAACCCGCCUAUAUGAACAAUACGAGAGGUACCGCCGUGAUCAUGAAGGAGAGUGUGAAGACAAGGAGAAAGGCAAAUGGAGGCACAAAACAAAAUAUGUAUCCCUCAACAAAGAAUAAUAAUGAUGAUAAUUCCUGUGUAUGUAUGGAAUAGUACUACAAUACGAAAUGCCAACCUCUCACUCCCCUGUCUCAAACGUACUGGGCAAAGGGAAUCCACAAGUUUUUUCCAUGCGUGCAUGGACUGUAGAUUCUUCUCAGCUCUGACAGCUCCUCCUCACCUGCUCCGACGACGGCAAAGAAGAACACAAAUCUGUUCCGAUGACGACAAAAGGUAAAGUCGAACAUGCUCCGACGACGACGACAAAAACGAAGACGGAGACGAAGACUCAGGUCAACCUAAGUAAAUCACCCACAACUCUCCCGCAUUAUAUAUACACAUAUGCAGGCGCUUCCAGUGCAGAUCGAGCUAUAGCAUUCCAACAAGAAAGCCUCAAGACACAACAUCAAGAGGUCCAGCCAUGGCGCCCAUGGUGGAGUGGUUGCCAUGGUUUGGAUCGGCGGUGGCGAGCGCCAUCUUCUUAUGGUCCAUGGUGCAGAACCACGUCCCGGACACCCUCCGUCUCUACCUCACCACCCGGGCAGCCAAGCUCGCCGCCUGCUUCAACCCUUACCACGAGAUCACCAUCUCCGAGUACGGCGCCAAGCGAUUCCAGCGUAGCGAAUUUUUCCUCGAUGUCGAGGCCUACCUGAGCGAUGCCUGUGCUCACCAUGCACGGAGGCUCAAGGCCGAGCUCGGCAAGGACAGCAAGAACCCCCAAAUCACCGUCGACGACCACGAGGAGGUCACCGACGACUUCUCCGGAACCACACUCUGGUGGUAUGCCUCCAAGCAGCAAUCCAAGGCCAAUGUCAUCAGCAUAUACCCCGGCCGGGAUGAGAAGCGAUUCUACCGGGUUGUAAUUCUUGAGUUGUAAAUCCAUAUAAGUGUGAUGAUUUUCAUUAUUAGAGCAUUGUCCUAGUGAGGAAAGGAGGAUGAAGACUAUGAUUCCCCCACAAGUCGGGAUGAGACUUCGGACUUUAUAAAAAUAAAAGAGGCCAAAAAAGCCCAUCAAAAAGNNNNNNNNNNNNNNNNNNNNNNNNNNNNNNNNNNNNNNNNNNNNNNNNNNNNNNNNNNNNNNNNNNNNNNNNNNNNNNNNNNNNNNNNNNNNNNNNNNNNNNNNNNNNNNNNNNNNNNNNNNNNNNNNNNNNNNNNNNNNCCCAUCAAAAAGAAAAAAAAAAGAAAAAAUGAGAAAAGAGGAAAAAAUUUGAGAAAGGCCAAAAAGAAAAAAAAAGAGGCUAAAGAAAAAAAAGAAAAAGAAAAAAAGGAAAAAAAAUGAGAGAAAAAGAGAGAAGGGACAAUGCUACUAUCUCUUUUUCCACACUUGUGCUUCAAAAUAGCACCAUGAUCUUCAUGAUAGAGAGUCUUAUAUGGUAUCACUUUCAUAUACUAGUGGGAAUUUUUCAUUAUAGAACUUGACUUGUAUAUUUCAAUGAUGGGCUUCCUCAAAGUGCCCUAGAUCUUUGUGAGCAAGCAAGUUGGAUGCACACCCACUUAGUUUCUUUUGUUGAGCUUUCAUAUAUUUUAUAGCUAUAGUGCAUCCGUUGCAUGUCAAUCCCUACUCACUCACAUUGAUAUUUAUUAAUGGACAUCUCCAUACAGCCCGUUAAUAUGCCUAGUUGAUAUGAGAUUAUCUUCUCCCUUUUUGUCCUCACAACCACCAUAAACCAUCAUAGUGUUAUGUCCAUGGCUUGCGCUCAUAUAUUGCGUAAGAGUUGAAAAAGCUGAAGCGCGUUAAAAAGUAUGAACCAAUUGCUCGGCUCGUCAUCGAGGUUGUACAUGAUGGGAGUAUUUUGUGUAAUGAAAAUGAAGCAUGGCCUAACUAUAUGAUUUUAUAGGGAUAAGCUUUCUUUGGCUAUGCUAUUUUGAUAUUACAUGAUUAUUUGUUAGUAUGCUUUGAAGCAUUAUUAUUUUUAUGUUUUAUAAGCUUUUAUUCUAAAUCUAAUGGAUAUAUUUUAGCCGGAAAAAUACUUAAUCCCGUAAAAUGGCAGAGUUUUACGAGCCGUCGAGCUUUUGUACAAUCUGCUAGGGAUGCUCUGAUCCAUCCUUUUUGGUAAAAUUGUAGCUAGCAGAAGAUCACCUAUAUACAUAUGUUUCUUGGUCCACAGUGAGUAGCCAAUAAAUAGAGUGCUGAAAUAAUAAUAUAUGAAAGUGCUGAAAUAAUAAUAUAUGAAAAAGAUUAUCCUAUAUAUGUAUGUUUCUUGGUACAAAUACGCAGCCAAACUCACAAGAGAACGUGCGCGUGUAUCUGAAUACCACAUGUCCACAUGACAAAAGCAAAACCAUAGCUAGAUGACGACAACAUUCAGAUGCAUUAUUUACAAUGUAAAAGAAAAUGCCCAACAACUUGGCUAGGAUCCUUGUUAAGAAUUCAUUUUUUGAUAAUCAUGCUCAAAUUAAAAAAAAACACUGCUUGGCUUGUGCCUCCCGUCGGUGUUAGCCGUCCAUGCCUGGUCCUAUGUGGCCUUAGGGCCAUCGAGACACGGUGGAUCCAGGUCUUCACCAACGUGAGGACUUCGUUUUCUAAUAUCUUUUUAAGUUUUGUUAGUGUUUGUGUUCUACUCAGAAAGACGAGGUGACGAUGGUCCUCUGCAGAUGGAAUAAGUUUCUUUCCUCCUUGUCCCCGUUUCGGCGGCGCUUCUUGCAUUGUUGGAGGGCGUGUGAAGAUUUAUCUCCGGCGAAUCCAGGAUUCGGUUGGCGAUUGUCUACGGUGGAUCCACGUGAAUUCGUUCUUUGUUCGUCAAUGGUCGUGUGUCUACAGGUUGAAUCCUUCUGAUCUACACUUCUUUUCUUCGACAGAGGUUGCUGUUCUGGUGCUCUGGUCUUGUAGGGCCUUAGCACGACAACUUACCGACUAUCUACUACAAUAAGGUUUGUCCGGCUUGGUGAGGGAGGGGAGAUGACGACGGCGUGCCUUCGGCUUGCUUCAGUAGUCGUCCUAGGCGGUGUACGAACCUCGAUGUAAAUUUUAGUUCUAGUGUUAUUUGUACUACCUUAACUUAACAGUUGAUGAAUAGAUUGAAUUUGUUUUAAUUUCUUUUAAAAAAACAGUCAUCCUCUCUCCUAGAAAAACAACAUUCUCCAUUUCUCACAUUUGCGAUGGUUUCUUCUCAGCGGGCCCACGCUGUCAGUGACACACGGCGGCUAGUGGGUGUCACGUAGCUUACGUGGCAGCAUAAAGGGAGGUCCUUGAAGCCACCGAGCUAAAAAAGACAAUUCUUUUCUUCCUCUUCUGUUCCGGCAGGGGCGGCGGGGAUGGCGAUGGCGUCGCGCGCGCGGACGCGGUGGUCGGCGCUGGCGGCGAGCACGCUGAUCCAGUGCUUCGCGGGCGGCAGCUACUGCUUCGGCGUCUACUCGCCGGCGCUCAAGGCGUCGCAGGGCUACGACCAGUCCGCGCUCGACGCCGUCGCCUUCUUCAAGGACGUCGGCGCUAACGUCGGGGUCCUCUCCGGCCUCCUCGCCGCGUGGGCUCCCUCUGGGGGCCGGAGGCGACCCUGGCUCGUCCUCCUCACCGGCGCCGCGCUCUGCGCCGCCGGGUACCUCCCCAUGUGGCUCGCCGUCGCCGGGGUCGUCCCCGCCCCGCUCCCGCUCGUCUGCCUCUACAUGCUGCUCGCCGCGCAGGCGCAGACCUUCAUGAACACGGCCGAUGUCGUCACCGCCGUAGAGAACUUCCCCGACCGCCGCGGCACCGUCAUCGGCAUCAUGAAGGUACGAUCCCCUUACUCUGUUUUCUUGUACAGUAGUAUUCAGUCUCUGCUCUGUUGCUCUGCAUCAGUAAUUUGCUCUGUGAGUUCCAAGAAAACAAUCCAAAAACAGCCUUUGUCUGCUCCAAUCUACAAACCGAAAACAGUAUUUGUUUUGUUCCAUUUUUAUGUGGAGAAAUCUGUUUUGGUGGCAUACUAUACCACACCAGUACAGAGAUAUAUGCUGAAAGUGAUUUUGAUGCAACACAGCCUUACAGGUAAACAGUUCUAGAAUAAUGUGAUUUGUUAAGACUUGUAGUAGUUCAUCAUCCAGCACAACCAUUCUAGGAAUUCAUGCUUGCUCCCAGGGAGGCAGCAUCGCUGGUUAUAGAAAAGUACAAUUGUGUAGCUCAUUAUAAUGUUUUCUGGUCCAGAGACAUCAGAGAGGCAAUAAUGCAGUGUUCAUUCGCUGGUGGAGUAUCAUUUUUGUCUUAAUUGCCCGAACUUUCAGCGUUGUUGUCUUGAGUUUUCGCCUAGCGCUGUAUUCGUGAUGAUGUCAACUUGUGUGGAUCGUACAUAGCACACACUUAAUUUGCUCAAUAAUCCCAGCCUGCACUCUGUUUCUCAAAAACAAAUCAAACUACUUAGUAUUUGUCUUCUUACACAACAAGUAUAGAUAUGUCCUACUCCUUCCAAUGACAUCGAUUCAUCUGUUUAAUUUCCAAACAGGGGUUUCUAGGCUUGAGUGGGGCGAUACUGGUCCAAGUACAGCGGACUCUCCGUAUUGAUCCCGGCAGUUUCAUACUUAUGCUGGCAAUACUACCCACAGCCAUCGCGUUGCUGCUCAUGUACUUUGUCGACGUCCACAGCGCUCAUGAGCGGUACAACAAGAAGUUCCUCGAUGCUUUCUCUCUCAUGGCCGUUACUGUUGCUGGGUUCCUGAUGGUUGUCAUAAUCUGCGACCAAGUAUUCGUGAUAAGUUCAGCCGGGCAGAGCGUUUGCUUUGGGAUACUCCUUCUAUUGAUCCUGUCUCCCGCAGCUAUUGUUGUAAGGGCUCAGAGGACGGAACCGAAGCAGCAAGAAGAACCAACGCCGGAAGAACAAACUGGUUUACUUCUUCAUGAGGAGACUGCGCAGCAGGAUUCGGAGAACGCCAGCUCUAGCAUGGCGCUCGUGGGAUCUAACAGUCAGGACAUGUCGUCGGACAAAGCAGAGAACCUGAACGUGGUGCAGGCCAUGUGCAAACUUGACUUCUGGCUGCUCUUCGUUGCGAUGGCCUGCGGGAUGGGGUCGGGGCUGGCCACCGUGAACAACAUCAGCCAGAUCGGGGGCUCCCUUGGCUACACGAGCAGGGAGACCAGCACUCUGGUGUCGCUAUGGAGCAUCUGGAACUUCUCAGGGAGGUUCGGCGCAGGCUACGUCUCUGAUCACUUCCUCCGGUCGCGAGGAGUCGGCAGGCCUUUCUUCAUAGCCGCGACGCUUCUGGUCAUGGGCGUAGGCCAUGCCAUCAUCUCCUCCGGUUUCCACGCGUCGCUCUACGUCGGCUCCGUCCUUGUAGGACUGUGCUACGGGUCUCAGUGGGCUUUGAUGCCGAGCAUAACUUCAGAGAUCUUCGGGCUAAACCAUUUCGGCACCAUAUUCAACACGGUGGCCGUCGCGAGCCCUGUUGGCUCUUACAUCCUCUCGGUGUGCGUGGUCGGGUUCAUCUAUGACAAGGAGUCACCGCAAGGUGAGCUUGCCUGCGCCGGUAAGCACUGCUUUGCGCUCUCCUUCAUGAUCAUGGCAUGUGUCUGCGUCUUCGGGUCUGCUGUUGCUUUUGUAUUGUUUGUCAGAACAAGGAAGUUUUAUAGGCGGGUUAUAUACGCCCGACUGCUCUCUUUUGUAGAUAAAUGAAGAAAUGCAUAUAUGCAAACGAUUCUCAGUUUCCCUUGUGUUCUUGCAGCAAUAUCACGUUAGCAUUUGGUAUUGUAGCACUCUCUCUAUAUAGUAACAAUACAAUGGUCACUUCCUGUGUGAGUAAGCAAAUGAGAAAAUAAACCAAUAUUAUUUUAUUUCAGUUGAUUGACACAUCUUUAUCAAAAAAAAAAAAGAAGAAGAAGCUGAGUGAUAUAUAUUUGUGUUCUUACAUCAAUACCAUGUUAUCAUUUGGUAUUGUAACAUAAUAUGUAGCAACAUUAUAAUGCCCAUUUCCUGGAGAAGAGAAAGCAAUGUUAUUUAUUUAUUUAAUUAUUUUAUUGCAGUUGAGUGAUAUAUAUUUUAUUUGAACAAACACUGCAUCCUUUUGUGUUUGUAAGGGAACACUCAACUCCUGUAACUUCACUUGUCACCUUGCUUGAUGAGGUCUCCAUUGGCUUCCUCCAAUGCUUUGUCCUUCCCUUCGUCUUUCUUGGCCUCCCCCUCCUUUUUAUCCUUGGCUUUCUUCGCUUCAGCCUCCUUGGCCUCCUCUUCCUCCUUAGCCUUUGCCGCUGCCGCGUCUUCCUUGGCCUGCUUGAGCACCUUGAUGAGGCCUGCCAAGCACACAUCGGGGUCCCUCUUCUUCUUCUUUGACAUGGGCAUCAGGUUCUCCGCCACAUCAGCAGGCGACAUGUCGAUCUCCUCGAGCAGCUGCUGGAUCUCGCCGAACAGCUCGUGCUCGACGACGUCCAUGUAGUUCUUGGCGAGCACCUUGAAUCCCUCGAAACGACAGUAGGACAUCUCGAUGUGCUUGUCCAUCCUGCCCCGCCGGAUCAGUGCAGGGUCCAGCUUCUCCUUGUGAUUGGUCGUGAAGAUGAUAAUCUGCUCACCUCCGCAGGCCGACCACAGCCCGUCGAUGAAGUUGAGCAGGCCAGAGAGCGUCACUUUGGUGUCAUCGUCCUUCUCUGGCUCCAUUGGUAGCUUGGGUCUGUCAUCGUCAUCAGAGUCCUUAUCGCCAGAAGCCUUCUUGUCCUUGUGGCCUUUUCCAGCGAGGUCUGCGGAGCAGUCAAUGUCUUCUAUGACGAUGAUGGAUUUGCCUGUUGUCUCGAUGAAGAGCUUCCGCAGCUCGGUGUUGUUCUUGACGGCCGUGAGUUCGAGGUCGUAGACGUCGUAGUCGAGGAAAUUGGCCAUGGCGGCAAUCAUAGUGGACUUGCCCGUGCCAGGAGGACCGUAUAGGAGGUAUCCACGCUUCCAUGCCUUGCCGACUUUUGCAUAAUACUCCUUGCCCUCCUAGAAGGCCAUGAGGUCGUUGAUGAUGGCCUCCUUCUGAUCGGGGUCCAUGGCAAGCGUGUCGAACGUCGCUGGGUGCUCGAAUGCGAUGUGGCUCCAAACGCUCUUGGCCCGGUGAGGGUUCCAGCUACCGCCGGCGUUGUUGGUGAAGAGGCGGCGUUGGCGGUUGUUGAUGGUGACGGCACGGCCCUUGCUGAGGACAAAUGGUAGGUAGGAGCCAACAACGAGUUCACGGUGUCAGCCUAUGAAAGACGACCCGGUAGAAUCGCUUCUCAUCCCGGCCUGGGUAUAUGCUGAUGACGUUAGCCUUGGAUUGCUGCUUGGAGGCAUACCACCAGAGUGUGGUUCCGGAGAAGUCGUCGGUGACCUCCUCGUGGUCGUCGACGGUGAUUUGGGGGUUCUUGCUGUCCUUGCCGAGCUCGGCCUUGAGCCUCCGUGCAUGGUGAGCACAGGCAUCGCUCAGGUAGGCCUCGACAGCGAGGAAAAAUUCGCUACGCUGGAAUCGCUUGGCGCCGUACUCGGAGAUGGUGAUCUCGUGGUAAGGGUUGAAGCAGGCGGUGAGCUUGGCUGCCCGGGUGGUGAGGUAGAGACGGAGGGUGUCCGGGACGUGGUUCUGCACCAUGGACCAUAAGAAGAUGGCGCUCGCCACCGCCGAUCCAAACCAUGGCAACCACUCCACCAUGGGCGCCAUGGCUGGACCUCUUGAUGUUGUGUCUUGAGGCUUUCUUGUUGGAAUGCUAUAGCUCGAUCUGCACUGGAAGCGCCUGCAUAUGUGUAUAUAUAAUGCGGGAGAGUUGUGGGUGAUUUACUUAGGUUGACCUGAGUCUUCGUCUCCGUCUUCGUUUUUGUCGUCGUCGUCGGAGCAUGUUCGACUUUACCUUUUGUCGUCAUCGGAACAGAUUUGUGUUCUUCUUUGCCGUCGUCGGAGCAGGUGAGGAGGAGCUGUCAGAGCUGAGAAGAAUCUACAGUCCAUGCACGCAUGGAAAAAACUUGUGGAUUCCCUUUGCCCAGUACGUUUGAGACAGGGGAGUGAGAGGUUGGCAUUUCGUAUUGUAGUACUAUUCCAUACAUACACAGGAAUUAUCAUCAUUAUUAUUCUUUGUUGAGGGAUACAUAUUUUGUUUUGUGCCUCCAUUUGCCUUUCUCUUUGGCUUCACACUCUCCUUCAUGAUCAUGUUAGAAUAUACGCCAGAAUGCUGUCUUUGUACCGCUCGUAUUAUUCGUUGGGACGAGCAAGUUCUGUAGGCAGGUUAUAUACGCCAGAAUGCUGUCUUUUGUAGAGAAAUGAGGAAAAUGUUCGCUGUGUACUUGCAACAGUAUCAUAUUAGAAUUAUGCAUUGUGGUGUCAGAUAUAGCAACUUUUUGAAGGUAACUUCCCGUGUGAAUUAACCAUUGAGAAGAGAAAGCAAAACCAUUUUAUUCCAGCUGAGUGAUACAUAAUUUAUUUGAACAAACACUAUACAUCCUUUUUGUUGUUGUAAUCGAGCACUAGUGAACAAGCAAACUUGUUUGAUGUCUUGGUUGGCUACCUGGCUUCCUGUCAUGUUUUUUACCUUUCAUUUGUCUUCCUUGGGUUCCUCUUUCUCCUUGGAUUUCUUUGCUUCUGCCUCCUCUUCCUCCUUGGCCUUUGCCGCUGCCGCAGCCGUGGCAGCAUCUUUCUUCGCCUGUUUGAGCGCGGCGAUAAGGCUUGCCAAGCUCAUGUUGGGGUCCUUCUUUUUCUUCUUUGACAUGGGCAUCAGGUUCUCUGCCACAUCGGCCGGUGACAUGUCGGUCUCUUCGAGAAGCUGCUGGAUCUCGCCGAACAACACAUGCUCGACGAUGUCUAGGUAGUUCUUGGCGAGAACCUUGAAGCCCUCGAAGCGGCAGUAGGACAUCUCGAUGUGCUUGUCCAUCCUACCCCGCCGGAUUAGCGCCGGGUCCAGCUUCUCCUUGUGGUUGGUGGUGAAGAUGAUGAUCUGCUCACCGCCGCUUGCUGACCAUAGCCCGUCGAUGAAGUUGAGUAGGCCUGAGAGCGUCACCUUGCUUUCAUCGUCCUUCUGUGGCUCCGUCGGGUCCGCUUCAUAUUCAUUGUCAGAGUCCUUGUUACUUGAGGCCUUCUUGCCCUUGCGGCGCUUACCAGUGAGGUCAAUGGAGCAAUCGAUGUCCUCGAUGACGAUGAUGGACUUGCUUGUCAUCUCGAUGAAGAGCUUUCUCAACUCGGUUUUGUUCUUGACCGACGUAAGCUCGAGUCAUAUACGUCGUAAUCAAGGAAAUUGGCCAUGGCGGCGAUCAUGGUGGACUUACCAGUGCCGGGUGGGCCGUACAAUAGGUACCCCGCUUCCAUGCCUUGCCGACCUUUGUGUAGUACUCCUUGCCCUCCUUGAAUGCGAUGAGGUCGUCGAUGAUGGCCUCCUUCUGGUUGGUAUCCAUGGCGAGCGUGUCGAACGUGGCCGGGUGCAUAAACUUAACAUAGUCCCAGACGCUAUUGCGAAGGUAGCGCUUCCGUUUACCGCCACAGUUGGUGACGAAAGCAUAUAAUAGAACACCUGCACUCAGGUCCUCCCUAUCUAGCCAUCCAUUCUGCGCAUCGUGAUUCAUGUAAACAUAUUUCUUUUUUUUGUUUCUCUCACAUAAAACAUGUUUUGAAGUUCAAACGUUUGUAGCAUGGCAAAGUUUUCUAUCUAGAAUCUAGGAUAAAUCUUUCAGAUUUUUUUAUCAAAUAUAAAUAUACAAAUUAUGAUUUUCUAGAUAAAAAAAUCAUAUUUUGUAUAUUUAUGUUUGACAAAAAAUUCUGAAAGAUUUAUCCUAGAUUCUAAAAAGAAAGUUUUGCCACGCUGCAAAGGUUUGAGUUCAAGACAUGUUCUACGUGAGAGAAACAAAAAAGAGAAAAUUUCAUAUAGAAAGUUAGUUGUGUUGCACGGAUCUUAAAGCAAUAUUGGACAGCCAGGAUAGCUGGGCCCGGGUGCAGAUGUUCAAAAAAAUCCACGUCCCAGUUUGUGAAGAGGCGGCGCUGGCGGUUCUUGACGAUGACGUUUAUGCCGUGCUAGUGAUGGGCAUGUUUAUGCCAAAUUCGUUGGUUCUUACUAUGAGUACAUUGAAUGGUCUAUUUGGGUUCCUAAGACCCUUGUUGCUAACGUCAAAUGACCCAUUCAAAAAUGGGUACCUAAAUCCAAGCAUUGAUCUCUUGUAGGAGUUUUUUUUUCCGGUGGAGUGUCAUUGUUGCUUGAUAGUGGAGUAACAAAUCAUAUGACCGGGAGUAAGGACUUGGUGGUGAAUGUGCACCAAUUCCAUCUAUGCCCACCCAUCUUUAAUUUGCUGAUGCCUCAACUUCUAAAGUAUUGGGACUUGGCAAGGUAGUCAUCUCUCAAGAUUUAACUAUUGGGAAGCUCAUACUUGUUGAGUCUCUUGCAUACAAUUUACUUUCCAUUCGUCAACUUGCAAUUAUGGGCUUUGCAACAUUCUUUGAUCUUGACACCGUGGCCCUUUUGUGGAGCAAUAUUCUUAAAGUAGCCUUUGUUGGGCAUGUCGAGAACGGUCUCUAUGUGGUGAACUUUUCGGAACGACCCACUACCACUAAGACCGCGACUUGCCUAAUGGCUAAAGUUGAUGUGGGUUGGCUUUGGCAUCACCGACUAGCCCAUGUCAAUAUGAGAUCUUUGUAAAGUCUUCUCAAAGGUGAUCACGUGCGUGGACUAACAAAUGUGAGUUUUGCCAAAGACCGUGCUUGAAGUGCUUGUAUCGAAGGAAAGCUUCAUAAAACGGCUCCAGCGGACCCGAGGAAGAUGAUGCUCGCCGCCCAACCCCGCCCACCUCUCCACCAUCGCUGCCAUGGCCGGCAAGCUCUCUUCUUCUUGAUGCCACUUGUUCGUGUGUGUAUAUAAUGCUGGUGAUUUACUUAAGUUGACUUGAGCGCGACCGGUGGUCGUUGUUGCCGUCGGAGCAGGUGAAGAGUAGCUAUCAGGGCUGGGUAAGUUCAUGCAACGCAUGGAAAAGAUGCAGAACUUAGUUGCUUAAUCAAUUAAUUACUAGGUGGAAAGGCAAAUUCAAAUUUGGGUUGCUUAAUCAAUUAACUGGAAGGAGCAGGGUAAGUUCCGAUUGCUAGUUGCAUGCUGUGUCACUGUCAUGCGUAGUGACGAUAUUGUGUUGGUGAAAUGGUAGAGAAGCUUCUUAUGCCAUGUUUAGGUUUAAUUCCCGAUAGAAAAAGUCGUUAGCAUUUUGGUGUAGGUAAAGCGGAUGGGUCUUGUUAGCAUUUUGUAUAGUUUUACCGAAAAUAAUACUAUAUAUAUAUAUAUAUAUAUAUAUAUAUAUAUAUAUAUAUAUAUAUAGUAUUAAUAUUCAUCAUCCAGGAUGCACAAUAAUUUAUUCUUCACCCGAGGUAAUCUUAUGAUCGCUUUCUAAAUAAAUUAUGUUUAGAAUAUAAAUAGUUGCAUGCAUAUUGGUUUAAUAUAUAAACUUUGGUAUAAAAAACAAAAGUAUAGGUUAUAAGACCAGAAAAAUCACAUUUUAUGUACGUUUUACACUAUGUUUUUACAUUCGUUAUUUUACGUAACAUAAAAUAUUUUUUGAGGCGAGUAUAUAUUUUCUUACUUUUUUUAUGUAUGAAAUAAGGCAAAAUUUACGAAAUGUAAAAAUACGAUGCAUUGAAGUCAGAAUAGAAAAUGGGUGAAGAAUAACUAUUUCUCACCCAGGGGAACGAAUAGCGCUUAUAUAUAUAAGGGGGCAGAUAUUACAAAUGAGAGAUACAACACAUAAUAUUUCGGUUGAGAGUUUAUAUUUUCUGUGACCAAACACUGCAUUUUCUUUUUGUACUAGUGAACAAGCUCAUUCUUUUUUCCUUUGCUUCCUUUCUUGGUAUCACUUCACUUGUCACCUUCUUUGAUGUCUCCAUUGGCUUUCUCCGGUGCUUUGUCCUUCCCUUUGUUUUCCUCCUUUGCUUUCUUCACCUCCGUCUCCUCUUUCUCCUUAACUUUCUUUGCUUCAGCCUCCUUGGCCUCUUCUUCCGCCUUCGCCUUGGCCGCCGCUGCUGCCGCGCCUUCCUUGGCCUGCUUGAGCGCCUCGACGAGGCCUGAGAAACACAAAUCAGGGUCCCUCUUUUUCUUCUUCGACAUUGGCAUCAGAUUCUCUGCAACAUCGGCGGGCGACAUGUCGGUCUCCUCGAGUAGCCGCUGAAUUUCCCCAAACAGGUCAUGCUCAAUGACAUCUAGGUAGUUCUUGGCUAGAACCUUGAAGCCCUCGAAGCGGCAGUAUGACAUCUCGAUAUGCUUGUCCAUCCUUCCUCGACGGAUCAGCGCCGGAUCGAGCUUCUCCUUGUGGUUGGUGGUGAAGAUGAUGAUCCGCUCACCCCCGCAAGCAGACCAUAGCCCGUCGAUGAAGUUGAGGAGGCCCGAGAGCGUCACCUUGGUGGCGUCGUCCUUCUCUGGAUCCAUCGGUAGCUUGGGUUUGUCAUCACUGUCGGAGUCCUUGUCUCCAGAGGCCUUCUUGUCCUUGCGGCGUUUUCCGGUGAGGUCAAUCGAGCAGUCGAUGUCCUCUAUGACGAUGAUGGACUUGCCCGUGGUCUCGAUGAAGAGCUUCCGCAGCUCGGUGUUGUUCUUGACAGCAGUGAGCUCGAGAUCGUAGACAUCGUAGUCAAGGAAGUUGGCCAUGGCGGCGAUCAUGGUGGACUUGCCGGUGCCGGGCGGUCCAUAAAGGAGGUACCCGCGCUUCCACGCCUUGCCGACCUUUGCAUAGUAGUCCUUGCUCUCCUGGAAUGCCAUGAGGUCGUCAACGAUGGCCUCCUUCUCAUCGGGGUGCAUGGCGAGCGUGUCGAAGGUGGCGGGGUGCUCGAAGGGGACGUGGCUCCAGACGCUCUUGCUGCGGUAGGGGUUCCAGUUGCGGCUGGCGUUGUUGGUGAAGAGACGGCGCUGGCGGUUCUUGACGGUGACGGCGCGACCCUCGCCGAGCACGAAGGGCAGGUAGGAGUCGACGACAAGGUCGCGGUGGCGCCUGUGGAAGAUGACCUUGUAGAAGCGCCGCUCGUCCUCGCCGGGGUAGAAGCUGAUGACUUGGGCCUUGGACUGCCGCUUGGAGGCGUACCACCAGAUGGUCGUGCCGGAGAAGUCGUCGGUGACCUCGUCGUGGUCGUCGACGGUGACCUGGAGGUUCUUGCUGUCCUUGCCGAGCUCGGCCUUGAGCUUCCGUGCGCGCCGGGCGCAUGCCUCGCUGAGGUAGGCCUCAACGGCGAGGAAGAAGUCGCUACGCUGGAAGCGCUCGGCGCCAUACUCGGAGAUGGUGAUUUGGAGGUAGGGGUUGAAGCAGGCGGCGACCUUUGCGGCCCAGGCGGUGAGGUAGAGGCGGAAGGUGGGAGGUACGUAGUUCUGCACCACGGACCAGAGAAAGAUGACGGUCGCCAUAGCCGACCCGAACCCCGCCCACCUCUCUACCAUGAUUGCCGCCAUUGCUGCAACUGGACGUCCUCUUGGUGUUGUCCCGAUGGAAAGCUGUAGCUCGACCUGCACACAUAUAUAUAAUGCCAAUGAUUCGUGUGGUGAACCGGUUAUCUGCUUAGGUUGAAGCUGAGCAGCGUGUAGUCGUUGUCGUUGUCGUCAUCGUCGUCGCCGUCUGCGUGGGAGCAGGUGAGGAGGAGCUGUCGGAGGCGAGAAGAAGCGGCGAGCGAGCGUAGAUGGAACAGUCCAAGGAAACGGAGUUACUUAACUCUCAAGGCAGUCUCUACUUUGUGGCCAAAUGCCAAGAUGCUCCGAUUGUUGAUGGCAACUCCGUCGCUAUUUUUAGCUCAUGGAUUGCAUCUCUGAGACUGACAGCCGAGUAUAGAACACAGACGAGGCAGGCCGGUGACACGGCCAGUGGUCGGCAAAUCGAAGCAUGGGUGACGACAUGGUUUUGCUGACUGCUGAGGAUGCAUGAGUCCAUGUACUCCGUCACUUCCAAAAUAAGUAACUUUACUUUGUAUUAACUUCAGUACAAAGUUAAUAUAAACUUAAGUCAAUUAUUUUGUGAUGGAGGGAGGAGUAAUAUUUAUUGCAAUAGUUAUAUGUAAGUUAACUGAAUUUGCAUUGGGGACUUGGAGUGGUUCAUUUUUGCGGGAAAGGAAGGAGGAGGCAAGGCGCAGCACCAAGACCGAGACGUCAUCUUUGCUAGACAGCAUGCAAACUCCUGACAUAAUCCUUUCGUCUAUAUAUUUUCAUAUGUCCCCAAACCAAACAGGGGCAUCUAUAAAAACACUUUUUCGCUGCCGCAACAUUUUGUACCCGUGAGAUCCCAUUUACGGGCUUUUUUCGGCGUCCUGCUGGAGGGGGAUUCGAUCACGGAGGGCUUCUACAUCAACACCAUUGCCCUUCCGAUGAAACGUGAGUAGUUUACCACAGACCUACGGGUCCAUAGCUAGUAGCUAGAUUGCUUCUUCUCUCUCUUUAAUUCUCAAUACCAUGUUCACCUCGAUGCUCUUGGAGAUCUAGUCGAUGUAAUCCUUUUUUGUGAUGUGUUUGCCGAGAUCCGAUGAACUGUGGAUUCAUGAUCAGCUUAUCUACGAAUAUUAUUUGAAUCUUCUCUGAAUUCCUAUAUGCAUGAUUUGAUAUCUUUGUAAUUCUCUUCGAACUAUCGGUUUGGUUUAGCCAAUUAGAUUGGUUUUUCUUGCAAUGGGAGAAGUGCUUAGCUUUGGGUUCAAUCUUACGGUGUCCUUUCCCAGUGACAGUAGGGGCAGCAAGGCACGUAUUGUAUUGUUGCCAUCGAGGAUAAAAAGAUGAGGUUUUCAUCAUAUUGCUUGGGUUAAUUUCUCUACAUCAUGGCAUCUUAAUUAAUGCAUUACUCCAUUCUUUAUGAACUUAAUACUCUAGAUGCAUGUUGGAUAGCGGUCGAUGUGUGAAGUAAUAGUAGUAGAUGCAGAAUCGUUUCGGUCUACUUGACACAGACGUGAUGCCUAUAUUCAUGAUCAUUGCCUCAGAUAUCGUCAUAACUAUCGCUUUUCUAUCAAUUGUUCAGCAGUAAUUUGUUCACCUACCGUAUUAUUUUUUAUUUUGAGAGAAGCCUCUAGUGAAACCUAUGGACCUCGGGUCUAUUUUCCAUCAUACAAGUGUCUGAUCUACAAUUUUAGUUUCCGAUCUACUAUUCUUGCAAUCUUUUACUUUCCGUUCUAUAAACCAAAAAUACCAAAAAUAUUUACUUUAUCGUUUAUCUAUCUCUAUCAGAUCUCACUUUUGCAAGUAACCGUGAAGGGAUUAACAACCCCUUUAUCGCGUUGGGUGCAAGUUUGUUUGAUUAUUUGUGCAUGUAUUCGGUGAUUUGUGUGUUGUCUCCUACUGAAUUGAUACAUUGGUUCUCAAACUAAGGGAAAUACUUAUCUCUACUUUGCUGCACCACCCUUUCCUUUUCAAGAGAAAAACCAACACAAGCUCAAGAAGUAGCAGUCAACAAUUUCUGGGUAAGUCCUUUCAAACACUUGAAUGUCAAUACCAAAAGGUUUAAAUUUGCCAUAGUCAUGAUUUUACCCUUCUCACAUGUAUGCAUGUUUAUAGGAUUUCUAUACAUGCGUAGAGGGUCAGAAGGAUCGUGCAAAUGUGGUGGUUGAGAAUAUUGCCAAGAAACUAGUCCAUGACAUGCACUAUGAGGAGCGCGUCCGGUUAGUGGUCAAGUAUCACACGGACUAUCUCAACCAGAAGAUUUCUAAAAAGGACGCUCGAGGGAAGCAUCUUUCACGGGAAAAUUACUUCAAGGCAUGUGAAGAUGGAUCUUGCUAUUCCCUACAUUACCGCAAAUUAUAUUCCUUGCUAAUAUGUAUUUGUUUACUUUACAAGUGAUUCCUCGGUGGUGCGCUAACAAAUGUUCGUGCUGGGAGAAGAUUGUCGAACAAUGGACAGAUCCAGGGUGGCAGAAUGAACACAAGGCAACAGGGUGAUGCGGAGCAUCCCACGAUCAUCCCCAUGGACGUACCUACAUCUCCCACGACACCACUUAGACAAUGACAAGAGCUCGAGCAAAGGCUAUCGAUAAUAAGGUGAACUCGCUCCUCUCCAAACUACCCUUUUCUACACAUGAGACAUGGCUACUACCUCAAGCGGAAACACUAUGUGUGAUUGGGUACUUAGAAGAAGGCAACGGAACAGCUACGCCCAAUGGCCAAGACGGCGAGGACAUCGAGCAUGAAGGACAAGAAGAAGAGCGACCGAAGAAGCUCCAGCCCGCAGAUGUCCGCCAGGGACCGGACAUUCGGCUCCUAAUGCUCCAGUGAGCGGACGUCCGACAAGGACCGGACGUCCGGCCCCUGAAGGCAUAGCUGACUACACUGCCCAGCGAGCGGACGACGGACCUGCACCGGACGACCGGCGAGUCAGCACCCGAGCCGAAUGUACAGAAGAUCGGAUCUAGCGGACGGCCGACGACUGGAAGACUGGAAACCACCGGAUGUCCGGCACCCCUGCACCCGAUCCAAAUCAGCGGAAGUCCGAGCCCUACCAGACGUCCGGACGUCCGCGAGCGACCGGACGACCAGUAGAGACCGGACGUCCGCUACCUGAAUGCGCAGUCUCGGCCCCAAAGGCCAUGUACCCCUUCAUUUCGUCCACAUUUUGCACUUAUACUAUAAAUAGACAUCCUCCUCCUCCUAGUCAACGUUAGCAUUGUGAUAGCUCAUACUUUGAGAUAGAGUUUUGCUCAUCCAUCCGGAUCUACUCCACCGCGAGGGACCGAUCCCUCUUCGGAGAAGAUCCACUUGGAUUCAAGACAUCCUCACGAAGAAGAACCGGUUACCCUAUGUGUCGUCCCUUGUUGGAUUCGAAUCUUGUACCCUUUUGUGUUUCGAGGAUCUAGCACAGGUGUGACUAUCUUCUUGUUGGUUGAGUGUUUUCUCUUGUGUUUCCCUCGUGUUCCCCUCGUUUCCCCUCUCGUGUUCUUCGUGUUCUUGGUAGGAUUCUCUCCAAAUGUGAAAGAUCGGGUGUCUAGGGUUCUACCCUACAUCAUCUUGGUAUCAUGAGCCACGUUGAUCACUUUUUUCGAGCCCCUACCCUUUGUUUUCUAGCUUGAUGUUGUUGUUUUUUGUCCUAAUCCAAAAAUCCACACCAAAAAAAGCCCCAAAUUAUUUUGUGAUUUGUUGGUGUGAUGAAGUUUUGUUGGAUUUGAUCCAUGCAUUUUCUUUGACACGUGUGGAUCUAGCUUUCCCCCAUCUUCUCCACCAUUUCCAUCCACAAAAUCGCUCGGAUUUGACGUCUCCACCUCCCUCCUCCACGACCCCGUGUGUUCAUCCCGUGCCCGAUUCCACCCAGGCACCGGACGACCGCUAACCACCGGACGUCCGACGACCGGACGACCGCUCUCCACCGGACGUCCGCUGAACCCUGACGAAACUGAAAAAGUUCAGUUCGGCCACCACCAACUCUCCACCUUCCACCAUCGAUCACCGCUACCACAUACGACGAUUUUGAACCGUUUUGGUCUUUGAGAAUUUGAGUUGUGGUUCUCGUGUCCUAUUGUAUUUCGGGUAUAUAGGUACGGUUCGACAUCUACAUCACCACCGCUCAUCUUCGUCAAGGACUCGACAUCGCCAACUAUCGUCCAUGCCUACAAACGACUACCGCGGCGGUAACCUCGACGCCAUCUUUGUCUUUCCAUGCCAUUUGCUGACAUAGGCUUACUUUUGUGUUGCUUACCCAUCGAGACUAGCCUUUGAGUAUUGCCGGCAACGUGACUUGUGCACAUUAGUGAUCAUAUUCCACAUAGCAUACAUACCAUAUCAUAGUGGUGCAUAUCUUGGCAUCAUCUUUUGUGUCACAAAGUUGUCAUCGCAUACACAAUUGCUACCUUGGUUCAUGAAGUUUUGCAUGAGAAACAAGCUCAAAAUUCAAAGAGCCAAAUAAUCUUUUAAGCAAAAAGGGAAAGAUAAGCAAAGAGCUUAUAAGCAAGAACUAUAGCAUUAUACUACAUUAAGAUUGUCAUAUCCGAUCAUCUUGGAUCAUAGCAUCGGAAUACCAUACAUAUAGCAUACUUGGGAUAGAAGUCGUUGCAUUUUUGCCUAGUAGUUUGUACACAAGUUCCGUAUCCGCCUAUUGUGCAAUCGUGCUAGCGUCUCUCUAGUGUUGUGCAACAUGAGCAUUUUCAUGGAUUCCACAUUUUGGCUCAUACCUUGGUUGCACGACCCCACUUAUCUAUCUGCGUGUGUGUUUCCUUGUACCAUAUCUUGCUAUUGGUCUACUUGUUGCAUUUGCAAAUUUGUGCAUCUUUUCCAACAUUAUUGAAGCUCACUAACAAUUGCAUCAAAUUUUGUGCCACCAUCCUAACCAAGCUCCACCAUAAGCUUUUACGUGUGUAGGCGUGAGAACCGACAAGAAUUAGUACCAAUUGUGCUAUUUCCUUGUCCACAUUUCAGUGAUCAUUGAUCCAUCUUCAACAUCUGUCAAGGUGCAUUUGGUAUAAGUUCUUCUCUUUCUCCCACUCACAUAUUUUCUUGGAAUGAUGGAUAGGCCAAGUUCUUCUACCAACCCACUCUUCAUCGAGCAAGACGACGACAUGUCAUCCUACGUCACCAAGAGCCACCUCUUCGGUGCACAAAGAGAUUUGCAUCAAGAGCAACAAGCAAUGAGUGACCGCAUCGCCAAUCUUGCCACCGACUUGCGACUCUCCAAGAAACGAACAAGAGACUACUUCGACAACAAGCUGGACGCUCACAAACAAGAGAGAAUGGACGAGAUUCGUGCCUCGUUGGUGAACCGCCAUUCUACCACUUCGUCCUACUGAAGACGGAUCCACUCGAGUCGACACUGCGAUGAAAUCCUCUCCGACUCAAGUACACCGUCAUCGAACACUCUACGCUGAGCCGCAUGUCAAGACCAUCAAGCAACUCGCAAUCCUCCACACGGCAAUCAUCCACAAGAUCAAGUCGGCGAGCAAGCACAUUGUCAUCGUCAACACCAAGUUCCUCUUGCACAAGCUCAAGAACGACAAUGUCAAUGUCACCAAGAGGAAGAGCGAGCGCGACAACAUCAAGACGAACAAGACAUCGAGGCUCAACGUCUUCAAACACAACAUCGUGAAGCACAAGCUCUUGAGGCAUGUGCCCUUCAAGAAUCAAGUCGAGCCAUUGCCAACCACAACCGAGAUAGGUGCAAUCAAGAGGAAGCACUUCGCGAAGAAAUCCAAGAGCGGCACUACAAACCAAGAGUGCAUCGUCAAGCUCGACAAGCUCCUCCUCAAGUUCGUCAAGUUCCUCCUCAACCGCGCCAAGAACCUCAAGUUCAACAAGAACAUGAUGACUACGAACAUCCUCCACGCCAAGAGCAACAUGAGGUCGACAAUCCUCCACGUCAAGGGCGUCAUCCUCGACCCCAACACAAUGAAGAGCAACGCUAUGGCAAGCUCAACUUUACCAUGCCCAAGUUCACCGGAAGCAAUGAUCCCGAAGAGUACCUUUCAUGGGCAUUGAAGGUCGACAAAAUCUUUUGCUUGCACAACUAUGAGGAAGAGAAGAAGAUCACUAUGGCAUCACUUGAGUUCCAAGACUAUGUGCUCAUAUGGUGGGAACAAGUCCUUGAGCGCCGAGAAGCCAGAGGUGAACCACCAAUCACCACUUGGGCUCAAAUGAAAGAUGUCAUGCGAGCACGCUUUGUGCCCACCUACUACAAUAGCGAUCUCUUCAAGAAGCUCCAACUCCUCAAGCAAGGAACAAAGAGUGUUGAAGAAUACUACAAGGAAAUGGAGAUAGCCAUCAUAAGAGCCAAUGUCAUGGAAGAUGAUGAGCAAACUAUGGUCCGUUUCUUGAAUGGCCUCAAUCAUCCCAUCAAGAAGAUCGCCGAUUUCCAACCCUACUCUAACCUCAUUGAGCUCGUGCAUCAAGCUACCAAAGCGGAACGUCAUGUGCAAGAUGACUUCAAGUACGCCAAGUACUCGUCCAAGAGCUACGGUUCUCCAACACCCAAGCUUCAACGACUCCAACACGUUCUAUCUCAACCAAGCCAUCUACAAGCAACGACGACAAGUAGAGUUACAAGAAAACUUUGACAACCUCAAGUCGCCCUCCUACUACAAGUAACUUCAAGCCGCACGCUUCAUCAUCUACUCCAACCGAUGAGACCGUCAAGACAAGUUCUAUCAAGUGUUUCACUUGCAGCGUCCGAGGCCACAAGUCUUUUGAGUGUACCAACAAGCGCACCAUGAUCCUCAACGACGACGGAACCUAUGACUCCAUGAGUGAAGAGGAAUUGGAAGCCCAUUGAGCAAGUGGCCAUGCACCGGCGCGUGAACAAAGAUGAAGAUGAUCAAGUCUUUUGUGAUGAGGAUUCGAGCCCCGCUCUCGUUGUCUCCAAAGUCCUGACUCUUUAACAAUAACAAGAUGAAGACCAAAGAUGCCACAUCUUCCACACAAAGGCCGGCAUCAAUGGAAGGUCCGUCAAGGUCAUCAUCGAUGGAGGUAGUUGUCACAACUUGGCAAGUGAAGAACUAUGCUCCAAGCUCCAAUUGGUCAAGAUGAAGCACCCGCACCCCUACAAGGUCCGAUGGCUAAGUGAUUCUGGCACUAUACAAGUUGAGCAUACGGUCAAAGUCUCCUUAAAAAUUGGAGCACAUGAAGACAAUUUGGAGUGUGAUGUCGUCCCGAUGUCCGUUUGCCACCUCCUUCUUGGUCGACCAUGGCAAUUUGACCGUGGCGUCAUCCACAACGGGCGUACCAAUCACUAUAGCUUCAAGAUGAAAGGAAAGGAAUAUGUGCUACGACCUAUGUCUCCAAGUCAAGUGAUCGCCGACAAGAAAGCCACCCAUCAUGGAGAAAAGAGUGAGAGAGUGAUCCACCCAAAAGAGAGUGAGCAUCACAAGCCAAAAUCAAGUGCCUCCACGAGGAGCGAUAAGAAAAACUUAGUCCUAUUUUCCACCAAAAGUGAGAUGAGAGAAGUGUGUGAGAACCCAUCACAUGUUAUGCACUAUGUCCUUGUGUGCAAGGACGAGGCACCAAAAACUAACACCUCUCACGAUCUACCUUUAGUGUUGUCUUCUCUUUUGCAGGAAUUCCAAGAUGUUUUCCCCGAUGAGCUACCUCGGGGUCUACCCCCACUAUGAGGCAUUGAGCACCGAAUCGACCUCAUCCCCGGAGCACCUCUUCUUAACAAGGCUCCCUACCGUGUCAACCCAACUAAGGAGAUCCAACGGCAAGUCCAACAACUCAUCGACAAUGCUCAAGUACGUGAAAGAUUGAGCCCUUGUGCCGUUCCGGUCAUACUUGUUCCAAAGAAAGACGGUACUUAUCGCAUGGUUUUCGAUUGCCGUCCCAUCAAUGCUAUCACCGUUAGAUAUCGUUAAACUAUUCCACACUUAGAUGAUAUGCUUGAUGAGCUUAGCAGAGCCACCAUUUCUCUAAGAUUGAUCUUAAGAGUUGCUACUAUCAAAUACGCAUCCAAGAAGGUGAUGAAUGGAAAACCACAUUUAAGACCAAAUUUGGCUUAUAUGAAUGGCUAGUUAUGCCAAUGGGUCUAUCUGAAGCACCAGGUACUUUCAUGUGAGUCAUGCACUUUGUUCUUCGUCCCUAUAUUGGUGUAUUUGUUGUGGUCUAUUUUGAUGAUAUUCUUGUCUUUAGCAAAUCUCUCAAAGAUCAUGUCACCCAUCUUAGAACCGUGUUGCAAACCCUUAGGAAAGAGCGCCUUUAUGCUAAUGUGGAAAAAUGCCUUUUUGGUGUUGAUAAGCUUGUUUUAUUGGGUUUUGUUGUGUCUUCUAAGGGUGUUCAUGUAGAUGAAUCUAAUAUCAAUGCUAUUAAAAUUUGGCCCCAACCAACCAACUUGCAACAAGUGCGUAGUUUUCUUGGUUUAACCGGUUUCUAUCGUCGCUUUGUGAAGGAUUUUAGCACCAUUGCUUCUCCUUUACAUUCUUUGAGUAAGAAAAUACACCAUUUGUUUGGGUACCAUCCCAAGAUACCGCAUUUAAUGAGCUUAAGAAUUUGCUUACACAUGCUCCCGUGCUUGCUUUACCCAACUUUGACAAACCUUUUGAAAUUCAUUGCGAUGCUAGCGGUCAUGGCAUAUAUAGGAGGUGUGUUAACGCAAGAGAAGCGCCCCAUAGCAUAUUUUAGUGAAGAACUUUCUGGAGCGCAACUCAAUUACCCCAUCUAUGAUAAAGAGCUACAUGCUUUAGUGCGAGUUUUGCGUGAAUGGGAACAUUAUCUUUGCCCUCAUGAAUUUAUCAUUCAUAUCGAUCAUGAAAUGCUUAAGUACUUAAAAGGACAAACUAAGUUGAAUAAGCGUCACGCUAAAUGGAGUGGAAUACAUCGAGCCUUUUCCUUAUGUCAUUAAGUACAUCAAAGGUAAGGAAAACGUAGUGGCGGAUGCCCUUUCCCACAUAUGCACGCUCGUCACAAAACUUGAGUUGAAUGUCAUUGGUUUUGAGAACAUAAAAGACUUGUAUGCGGAUGAUCCUACUUUUGCUAUUGCUUACUGCUACCUAUUGAGCAUUGCGUUGGAUUUCCCCGAAGAGGAGAGGAUGAUGCAGUAAAGUAGCAUAAGUAUUUCCCUCAGUUUUUGAGAACCAAGGUAUCAAUCUAGUAGGAGAUCACGCACGAGUCCCUCGUACCUACACAAAACGAUAGCUACUCGCAACCAAAGCGAUUAGGGGUUGUCAAUCCCUUCACGGUCACUUACAAGGGUGAGAUCUGAUAGAGAUGAUAAAUAAUAUUUUUGGUAUUUUUGAUAUAGAGAUGCAAAGUGAAAAGUAAAAGGUAAAGUAAAAACAAAGCAAGUAAUAAAGUAAUAAAGAUUGAUAUGAUGAGAAUAGACCCAGGGGCCAUAGGUUUCACUAGUGGCUUCUCUCAAGAGCAUAAGUAUUCUACGGUGGGUGAACAAAUUACUGUUGAGCAAUUGAUAGAAAAGCGAAUAAUUAUGAGGUUAUCUAGGUAUGAUCAUGUAUAUAGGCAUCACGUCCAAGACAAGUAGAUCGAAAUGAUUCUGCAUCUACUACUAUUACUCCACUCAUCGACCGCUAUCCAGCAUGCAUCUAGAGUAUUAAGUUAAAAAAAGAGUAACACCUUAAGCAAGAUGACAUGAUGUAGAGGGAUAAAUUCAUGCAAUAUGAUAAAAACCCCAUCUUGUUAUCCUCGAUGGCAACAAUACAUUACGUGCCUUGCAACCCUUUGUGUCACUGGGUAAGGACACCGCAAGAUUGAACCCAAAGCUAAACACUCCUCCCAUUGCAAGAAAUACCAAUUUAGUUGGCCAAACCAAACGGAUAAUUCUAAGAGACUUGCAAAGAUAACUCAAUCAUACAUAAAAGAAUUCAGAGAAGAUUCAAAUAUUAUUCAUAGAUAAGCUGGAUCAUAAACCCACAAUUCAUCGGUCCCAACAAACACACCACAAAAAGAAGAUUACAUCGAAUAGAUCUCCACAAGAGAGGGGGAGAACAUUGUAUAGCUACUAACUAUGGUCCCGAAGGUCUGAAGUAAAGUACUCACACUUCAUCGGAGAGGCUAUGGUGUUGAUGUAGAAGCCCUCCGUGGUAGAUGCCCUCUCCGGCGGAGCUCCGGAACAGGCCCCGAGAUGGGAUCUCGCGGAUACAGAAAGUUGCGGCGGUGGAAUUAGGUUUUUGGCUCCGUAUUUGAUCUGACAGGGGUACGUAGGUAUAUAUAGGAGGAAGGAGUACGUCGGUGGAGCAACAGGAGGCCCACGAGGCAGGGGGGCGCGCCCAGGGGGGGCGCCCCCACCCUCGUGACCUCCUCGGUUGUUCUUUGAAGCAGUGUCCAAGUCUCCUGGAUCAUGUUCAGUGAGAAAAUCACGUUCCCGAAGGUUUUAUUCCGUUUGGACUCCGUUUGAUAUUUUGUUUCUUUAAAAUACUGAAAUAGGCAAAAAACAACAAUUCUGGGCUGGGCCUCCAGUUAAUAGGUUAGUCCCAAAAAUAAUAUAAAAGUGGAAAAUAAAGCUCAAUAUAGUCCAAAACAGUAGAUAAAGUAGCAUGGAGCAAUAAAAAAUUAUAGAUAUGUUGGAGACGUAUCAAGCAUCCCCAAGCUUAAUUCCUGCUCGUCCUCGAGUAGGUUAAUGAUAAAAAAUAAUUUUUGAUGCGGAGUGAUACUUUGGCAUAAUUUCAAUGUGAAUCUUCUUAAUUGUGGCAUGAAUAUUCAGAUCCGAAAGAUUCAAGACAAAAGUUCAUAUUAACAUAAAGGUAAUAAUACUUCAAGCAAAUAAAUGAAAGGAAUCAUGUCUUCUCAAAAUAGCAUGGUUAAAGAAAGUUAUUCCUACAAAAUCAUAUAGUCUGGCUAUGCUCUAUCUUCAUCACACAAAGUAUUUAAUCAUGCACAACCCCGAUGACGAGCCAAGCAAUUGUUUCAUACUUUAGUAAUCUCAAACUUUUUCAACUUUCACGCAAUACAUGAGCGUGAGCCAUGGACAUAACACUAUAGGUGGAAUAGAAUGGUGGUUGUGGAGAAGACAAAAAAGGAGAAGAUAGACUCACAUAAACUAGGCGUAUCAACGGGCUAUGGAGAUGACCAUCAAUAGAUAUCAAUGUGAGUGAGUAGGGAUUGCCAUGCAACGGAUGCACUAGAGCUAUAAGUAUAUGAAAGCUCAACAAAAGAAACUAAGUGGGCGUGCAUCCAACUUGCUUGCUCACGAAGACCUAGGGCACUUUUGAGGAAGCCCAUCAUUGGAAUGUACAAGCCAAGUUCUAUAAUGAAAAAUUCCCACUAGUAUAUGAAAGUGACAACAUAUGAGACUCUCUAUCAUGAAGAUCAUGGUGCUACUUUGAAGCACAAGUGUGGUAAAAGGAUAGUAGCAUUGUCCCUUCUCUCUUUUUUUCUCAUUUUUUAUUUUUUAUUUUGGUGGGAUUCUUUGGCCUCUUUUUUUUAUUUGGUCUUCUUUGGCCUCUUUUAUUUUUCAUAAAGUCCGGAGUCUCAUCCCGAUAUGGGGGAAUCAUAGUCUCCAUCAUCCUUUCCUCACUGGGACAAUGCUCUAAUAAUGAUGAUCAUCACACUUUUAUUUUUUUCUUACAACUCAACAAGUACAACUCAAUACUUAGAACAAAAUAUGACUCUAUAUGAAUGCCUCCGGCGGUGUACCGGGAUAUGCAAUGAAUCAAGAGUGACAUGUAUGAAAGAAUUAUGAACGGUGGCUUUUCCACAAAUACAAUGUCAACUACAUGUUCAUGCAAAAAGCAAUAUGACAAAAGUAAUGUGUGUCAUAUGAACGAAACGGUGGAAAGUUGCAUGGCAAUAUAUCUCGGAAUGGCUAUGGAAAUGCCAUGAUAGGUAGGUAUGGUGGCUGUUUUGAGGAAGGUAUAUGGUGGGUGUAUGAUACCGGCGAAAAAUGCGCGGUAUUAGAGAGGCUAGCAUUGGUGGAAAGGUGAGAGUGCGUAUAAUCCAUGGACUCAACAUUAAUCAAAAGAACUCAUGCACUUGUUGCAAAAAUUUAGAAGUCAUCAAAAACCAAAGCACUAAACGCAUAAUCCUAGGGGGAUAGAUUGGUAGGAAAAGACCAUCGCUCGUUCCCGACUGCCACUCAUAAGGAAGACAAUCAAUAAAUAAAAUUGUACUCCGACUUCAUCACAAAGCGGUUCACCAUACGUGCAUGCUACGGGAAUCACAAACUUCAACACAAGCAUUCUUUAAAUUCAUAAUCACCCCAACUAUCAUUGCUUUGAUAUUAUCACCUCCAUAUCUCAAAACAAUUAUCAAGCAUCAAACAUAUCUUAGUAUUCAACGCACUCAAAAGAAAGUUUCACAAAUCUUGAAUACCAAGUAUAUUAUCUUUAAGCAAAUUACCAUGCUAUUAACAACUCUCAAAAUGAUCUAAGUGAAGCAUGAGAGAUCAAUAGUUUCUUUAAAACAAAUCCACCACCGUGCUCUAAAAGAUCUAAGUGAAGCACUAGAGCAAAAAUUAUUACGCUCAAAAGAUAUGAGUGAAGCACUAGAGUAUUCUAGCAAAUUCCAAAUCAUGUAUGGCUCUCUAAAAAGGAGUGUACAACAAGGAUGAUUGUGGUAAACUAACAAGCAAAGACGCAAAUAAUACAAGACGCUCCAAGCAAAACACAUAACAUGUGGUGAAUAAAAAUAUAGCUCCAAGUAAAUUACCGAUGGAAGUAGACGAAAGAGGGGAUGCCUUCCGGGGCAUCCCCAAGCUUUGACUUUUUGGUGUCCUUGGAUUAUCUUGGGGGUGCCAUGGGCAUACCCAAGCUUAGGCUCUUGCCACUCUUUGUUCCAUAAUCCAUCAAAAGAAUUCAUCCAAAACUUGAAAACUUCACAACACAAAACUCAAUAGAAAUCUCGUGAGCUCCGUUAGUGAAAGAAAACAAAAGACUACUUUAAGGUACUGUAAUGAACUCAUUCUUUAUUUAUAUUGGUGUUAAACCUACUGUAUUCCAACUUCCUUAUGGUUUAUAAACUAAUUUAUUAGCCAUAGAUGCAUUGAAAUAAGCAAACAACACACGAAAAACAGAAUCUGUCAAAAAACAGAACAGUCUGUAGCAAUCUGUAACUAAUGCAAACUUAUGGAACUCUAAAAAUUCUACCAAAAUAGGACGUACUGGAAAAUUUGUUUAUUGAUCAGCAGCAAAAAGAAUCAAUACAAAAGCACGUUUCUGUGAUUUAUUGAAGUUUUUCUCGUGAGCGCAAAGUUUCUGUUUUUCAGCAGAAUCAAAUCAACUAUCAUCAUAGCUUAUCCUAUAGGUUCUACUUGGCACAAACACUAAUUAAAACAUAAAACCACAUCUAAACAGAAAGUAGAUGGAUUAUUUAUUACUAAACAUAAGCAGAAAAACUAAAAACACAAAAUAAAAUUGGGUUGCCUCCCAACAAGCGCUAUGUUUAAUGCCCUUAGCUAGGCAUAAAAGCAAGGAUAGAUCUAGGUUUUGCCAUCUUUGGUAGGCAAUCCAUAAGUGGCUCUCAUGAUAGAUUCAUAUGGUAAUUUUAUUUUCUUUCUAGGGAAGUGUUCCAUACCCUUUCUCAAGGGAAAUUGAAAUCUAAUAUUCCCUUCCUUCAUAUCAAUAAUCGCACCAAUCGUUCUAAGGAAAGGUCUACCAAGAAUAAUAGGAUAUGAAGGAUUGCAAUCUAUAUCAAGAAUGAUAAAAUCUACGGGCACAUAAUUCCUAUUUGCAACAAUAAGAACAUCAUUAAUUCUUCCCAUAUGCUUUUUAAUAGUGGAAUCCGCAAGAUGCAAGUUUAGAGAACAAUCUUCAAAGUCACGGAAAUCUAGCAAAUCGCACAAAGUUUUGGGAAUAGUGGAGACACUAGCACCCAAAUCACACAAAGCAUGAAACUCAUAAUCUUUAAUUUUAAUUUUAAUAGUAGUUUCCCACUCAUCAUAGAGUUUUCUAGGGAUAGAAACUUUCAACUCAAGUUUUUCUUCAUACGAUUGCAUCAAGGCAUCAACAAUGUGUUCGGUAAAGGCCUUAUUUUGACUAUAAGCAUGAGGAGAAUCUAGCACGGAUUGCAGCAAGGAAAUACAACCAAUCAAAGAGCAAUUUUCAUAAUUAAAUUCCUUGAGAUCCAAAAUAGUGGGUUUUAGCAACAUCAAGAUUUUUAUUUCUUUCAAUCCCACUUUCAUCAAUUUCAUCAUCAAGAUCUAGAAACUCCGAAUUCUUAGAACGCCUUCUAGGUAAAGGAAGAUCAUAUUCAGUUUCAUCAAGAUUCAUAUUGCAGAACAAAGAUUUAAUAGGGGACACAUCAAUAACUUUUAGAUCUUCAUCUUGAUUUUCAUAGGAAUUGGAAGAACACACUUUAAUAAAGGCAUCUUUGGAAGCACGAAUCCUAGCGGUUCUUUCCUUGCACUCAUCAAUGGAAAUUCUCAUAGCUUUGAGAGACUCAUUGAUAUCAUGCUUAGGAGGAAUAGAUCUAAGCUUUAAAGAAUCAAUUUCAAGAAAAAAUCUAUCAAUGUUCCUAGCCAAAUCAUCAACCUUAAGCAAUUUCUCUUCAAGCAAAGCAUUAAAAUUCUUUUGUGAAUUCAUAAACUCUUUAACACUACUCUCAAAUUCAGAGGGCAUCUUAUUAAAAUUUCCAUAAGAGUUGUUGUAGGAAUUUCCAUAAUUAUUGGAAGGAUUAGUAGGAUAAGGCCUAGGGUUAAAAUUCCCUCUAUAUGCAUUAUUUCCAAAACUAUUCCUUCCAACAAAAUUCACAUCCAUAGAUUCAUUAUUAUUCUCAAUCAAAGUAGAUAAAGGCAUAUCAUUGGGAUCAAGAGAAGUAUUUUUAGUAGCAAACAUCUUCAUAAGUUCAUCCAUCUUUUCACUCAAAACAUUGAUUUCUUCUAUAGCAUGCACUUUUUUACUAGAAGAUCUUUCGGUAUACCAUUGAGAAUAAUUAGCCAUAAUAUUGUCAAGCAAUUUUGUAGCAUCUCCUAACGUAAUUUCCAUAAACGUGCCUCCCGCGGCCGAAUCUAAAAGAUUUCUAGAAGCAAAAUUUAAUCCGACAUAAAAAUUUAGUAUGAUCAUCCAUAAAUUCAAACCAUGAGUAGGGCAAUUAUGAAGCAUCAAUUUCAUUCUUUCCCAAGAUUGGGCAACAUGCUCAUGAUCAAGUUGUUUAAAAUUCAUAAUAUCGUUCCUAAGAGUGAUGAUCUUAGCGGGAGGAAAAUACUUAGAGAUAAAAGCAUCUUUGCACUUGUUCCAAGAAUCAAUACUAUUUUUAGGCAAAGACGAAAACCAAAUUUUAGCAUGAUCUCUAAGUGAAAACGGAAAUAACUUCAAUUUGACAAUAUUGUUAUCAGUAUCUUUCUUCUUUUGCAUAUCACACAAAUCAACAAAAUUGUUUAGAUGAGUAGCGGCAUCUUCACUAGGAAGGCCGGCGAAUUGAUCUUUCAUAACAAGAUUCAGCAAAGCAGUAUUGAUUUCACAAGACUCAUCAUUAUUAAGAGGAGCAAUUGGAGUACUAAGGAAAUCAUUAUUAUUGGUAUUCGAGAAAUCACACAAUUUGGUAUUACCUUGCGCCAUGCCAACAAGUAAUCCAACACACAAGCAACAAAAGGGCAAACGAGAAAAAGGCGAAAGAGAAAGAGAGGAGGAGAUUGGGAAAGAGAGGGUGAAUAAAAUGGCAAGGGUGAACCGGGGGAGAGGAAAACGAGAGGCAAAUAAUGUAAUGCGAGAGAUAGGGAUUGUGAUGGGUACUUGGUAUGGUCGACUUUUGCGCAACCUCCCCGGGAACGGCGCCAGAAAUUCUUCUUGCUACCUCUUGAGCACUGCUUUGGAUUUCCCUGAAGAGGAGAGGAUGAUGCAGUAAAGUAGCGUAAGUAUUUCCCUCAGUUUUUGAGAACCAAGGUAUCAAUCCAGUAGGAGAUCACGCACGAGUCCCUCGUACCUACACAAAACGAUAGCUACUCGCAACCAACACGAUUAGGGGUUGUCAAUCCCUUCACGGUCACUUACAAGGGUGAGAUCUGAUAGAGAUGAUAAAUAAUAUUUUUGGUAUUUUUGAUAUAGAGAUGCAAAGUGAAAAGUAAAAGCUAAAGUAAAAACAAAGCAAGUAAUAAAAUAAUAAAGAUUGAUAUGAUGAGAAUAGACCCAGGGGCCAUAGGUUUCACUAGUGGCUUCUCUUAAGAGCAUAAGUAUUCUACGAUGGGUGAACAAAUUACUGUUGAGCAAUUGAUAGAAAAGCGAAUAAUUAUGAGGUUAUCUAGGUAUGAUCAUGUAUAUAGGCAUCACGUCCAAGACAAGUAGAUCGAAACGAUUCUGCAUCUACUACUAUUACUCCACUCAUCGACCGCUAUCCAGCAUGCAUCUAGAGUAUUAAGUUAAAAAAGAGUAGCGCCUUAAGCAAGAUGACAGGAUGUAGAGGGAUAAAUUCAUGCAAUAUGAUAAAAACCCCAUCUUGUUAUCCUCGAUGGCAACAAUACAUUACGUGCCUUGAAACCCUUUCUGUCACUCGGUUAGGACACCGCAAGAUUGAACCCAAAGCUAAACACUUCUCCCGUUGCAAGAAGUACCAAUCUAGUUGGCCAAACCAAACGGAUAAUUCGAAGAGACUUGCAAAGAUAACUCAAUCAUACAUAAAAGAAUUCAGAGAAGAUUCAAAUAUUAUUCAUAGAUAAGCUGGAUCAUAAACCCAUAAUUCAUCGGUCCCAACAAACACACCGCAAAAAGAAGAUUACAUCGAAUAGAUCUCCACAAGAGAGGGGGAGAACAUUGUAUUGAGAUCCAAAAAGAGAGAAGAAGCCAUCUAGCUACUAACUAUGGUCCUGAAGGUCUGAAGUAAACUACUCACACUUCAUCGGAGAGGCUAUGGUGUUGAUGUAGAAGCCCUCCGUGGUAGAUGCCCUCUCCGGCGGAGCUCCGGAACAGGCCCCGAGAUGGGAUCUCGCGGAUACAGAAAGUUGCGGCGGUGGAAUUAGGUUUUUGGCUCCGUAUUUGAUUUGACGGGGGUACGUAGGUAUAUAUAGGAGGAAGGAGUACGUCGGUGGAGCAACAGGGGGCCCACGAGGCAGGGGGGCGCGCCUGGGGGGGCACCCUUGUGACCUCCUCGGUUGUUCCUUGGAGCAGGGUCCAAGUCUCCUGGAUCACGUUCGGUGAGAAAAUCACGUUCCCGAAGGUUUUAUUCCGUUUGGACUCCGUUUGAUAUUCUUUUUCUUCGAAAUACUGAAAUAGGCAAAAACAGCAAUUCUUGGUUGGGCCUCCGGUUAAUAGGUUAGUCCCAAAAAUAAUAUAAAAGUGGAAAAUAAAGCCCAAUAUAGUCCAAAACAGUAGAUAAAGUAGCAUGGAGCAAUCAAAAAUUAUAGAUACUUUGGAGACAUAUCACUUAUGCCAAGUGUUUGACGCAUAUUUCUUGGGAACGAUAUUACAUCAAGGAUGAUUAUCUUAUGAGAGCUAACACACUUUGUAUUCCCGAGUCUUCUCUUCAUUUGCUCCUUUUGCAAGAGGCUCAUGGAGGCGGACUCAUGGGACACUUUGGACGCGACAAGACAUUCACCAUGCUCUCCAAGAACUACUUUUGGCCCAAGAUGUUCCGCUACGUCUCACGCUUCACCAACCGAUGCUCUACAUGUCGCAAAGCUAAGUCAAAAGCUCAAUCCCAUGUUGUUUACAUGCCUCUUCCUAUACCAUAUCAACCUUGGGAAGACAUUAGCAUGGCCUUUGUACUUGGUUUGCCUAGAACUCAAAAUGGAAAGGAUUCCGUGUUUGUUGUUGUGGACCGAUUCUCUAAAAUGGCUCAUUUUAUCCCGUGCAACAAGAUAGACGAUGCUUCACAUAUCCCGAAUAUCUUCUGUAGGGAAAUCUUGCGCCUACAUGGAGUGCCCAAGACGAUCGUCUCGGACCGCGAUGUCAAGUUCUUGAGUUACUUUUGGAAGACUCUAUGCGCCAAGCUUGGAAUCAAGCUCUUGUUCUCUUCGGCAUACCAUCCUCAAACCGACGGCCAAACGGAGGUGACGAACCGUACACUCUCCACUCUACUUCGCGUGUUAAUUAUGAGGAACAUCAAGGAGUGGGAGGAGUGCCUACCCAUCGCCGAGUAUGCUACAACCGCGCAAGACAUUCGACUACCGGCAAGUCCCCCUUUGAGGUCGUCUAUGGCUUCAACCCUUUGUCCCCAUUGGACAUUCUACCUCUUCCACUACAAGAGUGCACCAACAUGGACGCGAGUGCAUGAGCAAGCUACCUCAAGAAGAUGCAUGAAGAUACAAGGCACACCAUCGAGCGCCAAGUACAACGAAUCGCGACCAAGCUCAACAUCAACAAGAAACCCAUGAUAUUCAACAUUGGAGAUCUAGUGUGGCUACACCUUUGCAAGGACCGCUUCCCCAACGAACGCAAGUCGAAACUUCUACCACGAGCCGAUGGAACCUUCAAGGUGCUAGCACGCUACAACAACAACGCUUACAAGAUCGACCUUCGAAGCAACAAGUACAACGUGAGCGUCAUCUUCAAUGUCAAAGAUCUCUCGCCAUACCAUGGUGAUGAAGCUUUUGAUCCGAGGUUGGAUCUUUCCCGGGGGGGAGAUGAUGCGAAGCAUCCCACGAUCAUCCCCAUGGACGUACCUACAUCUCCCACGACACCACUUGGACCAAUGACAAAAGCUCCAGCAAAGGCUAUCAAAGAUAAGGUGAACUCAAUCCUCUUCGAACUACCCUUUUCUACACAUGAGACAUGGAUACUACCUCAAGAGGAAACACUAUGUGUGAUCAGGUACUUAGAAGAAGGCCACGGAACAGCUACGCCCAAUGGCCAAGACAGCGAGGACACCGAGCAUGAAGGACAAGAAGAAGUGCGACCGAAGAAGCUCCAGCCAGCGGACGUCCGCCAGGGACCGGACGUCCGGCGCUUGAUGCUCCAGCCAGCGGACGUCCGACAAGGAUCGGACGUCCGACCCCUGAAGGCCCAGCCGACUACACCACCCAGCGAUCGGACGACCGACCUACACCGGACGACCGGCGAGUCAGCAAGCAAGCCGAAUCUACAGAAGACCGAAGCUAGCGGGCAGCCGACGGCCAGAAGACUGGAAACCACCAGACGUCCGGCACCCCUGCACCCGAGCCAAAUCAGCGGAAGUCCGAGCCCUAUUAGAUGUCCGGACCUCUGCAAGCGACUAGACGACCGGUAGAGACCGGACAUCCGCUACCUGAAUGCGCAGUCUCGGCCCCAAAGGCCAUGUACCCCUUCACUUCGUCCCCAUUUUGCACUUAGACUAUAAAUAUACCUCCUCCUCCUCCUAGUCAAGGUUAGCAUUGUGAUAGCUCAUACUUUGAGAUAGAGCUUUGCUCAUCCAUCCGGAUCUACCCCAUCGCUAGGGACCAUCACCUCUUCGGAGAAGAUCCACUUGGAUUCAAGACCUCCUCUCGGAGAAUACCCUCUUCAAGACCUCCUCACGGAGAAGAACCUAUUACCCUAUGUAUCAUCCCUUGUUGGAUUCGGAUCUUGUACCGUGUUUCGAGGAUCUAGCACAUGUGUGACUAUCUUCUUGUUGGUUGAGUGUUUUCUCUUGUGUUUCCCUCAUGUUCCCCUCUCGUGUUCUUCGUUUUCUUGGUAGGAUUCUCUCCAAACGUGAAAGAUCAGACGUCUAGGGUUCUACCCUACAUCAUAGGGUAACUGUGUAAGUUAAUGGGUUGUCCAGGACACCUUCAAGGCAACCUCACCAUCAAGGUGUCUUCUGCAAACAUGUAGGCAACAACAUCCUUUUAUUUUCAUCAUGUUCUCUUUCAUUUGUGGGCAUUCCCUUGAUUGUUUGGAUCGUUUUCUUUUGCAGGAAGAAGACACUGGCAAGGAUAUCUCUUACUUCGAGGCGUGGACCAUCUAACGUACCAUAGACGACAAGGACACGAACCCUCUCCACCCGGAGGGGGACCGGAUCAGCUCUAAAGCCUGGUCAGAUGGGGAGAACUACACGAAAAAUUGAAGGAGACAUAUGGCAAGAGGCUGAUCCUCAUGUGCUGCCGUUUGACCCUCUUGUGGCCAUUGUCGCGGCAGGCGGUAGACCGAAUAGCCGAAUGGCGGUUCACCCCGAUUCUUUCAUAACCUCCUGCCUUCCGAGAGUCAACACGGUCCGUGCUAUGAGUACCGGCUCUACUCCUACCAUAGAGCGUCACGUACGUACCACAUACCACGACCAUUAUUGAGGAUAUUCAGGUCAGCGCUUCUUUGUUGAUCCUUCAUGGUCCUGCAUGUUUGCAUUUCAACAUGAAUGACAUUUGCAUUGCUAUAUUGUAGACUCGACUGAUUGAGACCCAGAAAGAACGAGAUGAAGACCGGGCUAAGUUGAAGGCACAAGAUUAUCUAGUGAAGUCUUUACAACAUAUGGUGGCCAAUCUUUAUUCCAUGCAAGGAAAACCAGUGCUAGAUAUGCCACCAACGCUAGAGUGGAACAUUGUGAGUUUCGUUCAAACUAUUUCUAUCACCAUUUUCGGCAUUACCAUAUGCAUUCAUCUCAUUAUUGGGUCAAUUCAUCACAAUGGUCAAACAAUGUUCCGGAAGCAAACGCCACACAGGAUGUUGAUGUUACCACUCCGAUAUCCAAAACCAUGUGAACUUCAUGUUAUUUUGUGUUUGAAACUGCUCCUUGUAUGUGCUUGAGAACUAUUUCAUCUUGUGUCAUCCCGAGACUUGUAAACUUGUGGUAGUCGAGUAUGUAGACUUGUAAACCGGGGCAAAUGGCCCCCCUGCCUGGGCAAGCGGCAGUGGCCACGUGGAUCCCCAUAUGUCCCGGUUCCUGGGUGAACCGGGACUAAAGGUGUAGGGUUUUAGUACCGACCCUUUAGUCCUGAUUGGGGAACCGGGACAAAUGACUCUCACGAACCGGGAUGAAUGGGGUUUUUUCUACUAGUGAGGGAUGAAAGGGGAAAUUUGAAAAAUGUGCUCGAGCCAGUCUCCGAUGCUAAAUUGGUGACUGAAACAUCUCCAGCAUAAUGGGCGACUCUCCUGGCGACCCCGCGGGCGCCCUCGCCACGCCCGACCCCUCGCCGCCGGCGCCCUGCCUCGCCCUCUCCAUGGCUCCCCCUUCCUCCUCCGCGGUCCCGGUGCCGCCCUCCCCGGCAUGCACCCCCUCAGCCGCCGCUCCGCUGGCCAGGUUCUGCUGGGCUGACUUUGCGGAUGACCCCCUUUCCCCCUUCCCAUAGCUCCCCCGGCCCCUGCGUCUCCCCGCUCCGGUCGCCGGCUCGCUCCGCCCCGCCGGCCAGGGAGCUCAGCCCCCCACGCGAGGGUUUCGGCUCCUGGCAGGCGGGCGCCGCCCUCCCCCCUCGGCUCCCCUGAGCCCGGCUCGGGCGGAUGCCAUCCAAGGGGGGACCUUGGCUGGUCGGUCUUCGCGCCGCCGACGUGAGCUUGCCUGGGGCGUGGCCGGGCGUUCCGACCGGGGCGCCGCCCGCUCCUCCUGGCGCCGCCCAGUGGUGGUGGCGCGGCCGCCGAUCCCCCCCUUCCUCCUCCCCGUCGCCUCUCUCCCCCCCUCCCCUCCUCCCGUCCAAGACGCGCCGCACCGCCCCGUGCAGGCCGUUCAUCGCGCAUUUCGGAUCCUCCAGGCUCCAGGUGCAUGCGGACCGGGGCGCCUUGGCCUCUCCUGCCGCCCGGGCUGGUCCCGCGGCGGCGGCGGCGCCGGUGGCCGGCCUCGGUAGGGUUUCCUUCCUCGCACCCGCUCCCUCCCGGCGCGUGGACUGCUCCGCGCGGUUGGCUGGGCUGCUGGGCCCCGGCCCACCACGGCUGAUGGGCCCCUCGCGGCCCGCUUCGGUUCGGCCCACCCCGCAGCUCCCGGUCCGGCCCAGUCUGGGUAGAGCGGACCCUUGCCCUAGGCCCAGAUCUAAGGAGGCCCCCUCGAUCUGGCUCCCGUGCGGGCUCCCCCUUCCUCCUCCCCCCUGCGUCGCUAUUCCCUCCCCUCGACUCACACCCGCUGAACUCCUCUCCGCCUCGGCGACUCCUGCCACCCCCCUUCCCUCCGGCCGCCCGGCUUGCUCCCCNNNNNNNNNNNNNNNNNNNNNNNNNNNNNNNNNNNNNNNNNNNNNNNNNNNNNNNNNNNNNNNNNNNNNNNNNNNNNNNNNNNNNNNNNNNNNNNNNNNNNNNNNNNNNNNNNNNNNNNNNNNNNNNNNNNNNNNNNNNNNNNNNNNNNNNNNNNNNNNNNNNNNNNNNNNNNNNNNNNNNNNNNNNNNNNNNNNNNNNNNNNCCCUGCUCUCGCCUCCUCCCCUCUCGCCGCAUUGCCCCAUGCCGCGGGAGUGGAAUGACCCCGCCCCCCGGGACAAGAGGAAGGCGGUGGAGCUCCAGCGUGAGCCUGCCCGCCCCUCCCCCGACGGCAUCCAGCGCGAAGAGGAGCUCCGGUGGGAGCUCCGCGAGCUCCGCGACUGCCGCCGUUCCCUCACCCGUCGCGAGGACCGCGGCAGGUCCCGGUCGCCUCGGGCUUCGUCGGGAGAUUGGUGCUCCCACCGGCGCUCUCCGUCGCCGCCCCCUCGUAGGGGCCGCUCUCCAUCCCCCUCCCGCGCGGCUCGGCUCAGCCCCUCCAGCCCCAGGGACGGGAUCCUCCCCACUCCGGAGCCGUGCUGCUAUGUGCCGUCCCACGCUUCGGCUCCCGGGGGUGUGGCCCCGGCUCCUGCGCCUGGUGGUGGCCCCGCCCGCGGUCGGUCCGGACCUGCCAAGAAGAAGAAGCGGCGCGGCGUUCGCGGCGUGCUGCCUGUGCCCCCUCCCGCGGGUCCGGGAUCCUCCACCACUCCCGGCCCCGUCUCCGGUCUCCCUCGCCCCCCCUGCUUCAACUGUGGGGUGAGGGGGCACUCGCAAGUCAACUGCGUCAACCGCCAGUGCUGCUACCUCUGCAAGGAUCCCGGCCACCCCGCCCUCCUCUGUCUGGAUAGACCGGUGGUCUCGGAGCUCAUGAUUUAUGGGCAUGGGAUCCAGGGGUUGGGUUUCUUCCACCUCGAGGUCCCUGACGCCCCUCCGCCGUCUCCUUCCCUUCAGGCGAUUGUCACGGUCGUCGAUGGCGUGGCAUCCCCGGAGAUGAUUGAGGCUGAGCUCAACCAUCUCUACCGUCACCAGUGGGACUGGGUGGUCACCCCAUCCGCCGGUCACAUCUUCUCUGUCGUCUUCCCCGACUCCGUCAGCUACGGCUACGCGAUGCGUAGUGGCCGUAUCACUCUCGCCCUCAACCAGCUAGUUGUCGAGAUCUCCGAGCCGGUCCUCGAUGCUCAGGCCGUGGCCUUCCUCGACACCGCCUGGAUCCUCAUCUCCGGCCUCCCCGAUAUUGCACGGUCCGAGCUCGUCAUCCGCCAGAUGUCCCGUCUCUUGGGCAAGGUGGUGGCGGUUGAUGAGCUCUCUAUUCGCAAGGAGGAGGAGGAGGUCCGGGUCAAGGUCAAGUGCCUCGACUCCUCCAAGCUUCGCACCUCAGUCCACGUCUUCUUCAACGACCAGGGCUUCGACCUCAGGUUCGCCCCCGAGCCUCCCAACCACGUUGGGAGCCCCCGCUCCUUCGACGCCGGCCCCCCAGGUGGCAACCCGGGGGCCGGUGGGGACUACCACGGCCGUCACCGCUCCGGUACCACCGCUCGGAUGGGGAGGGGGCGUCCGAGGACUCCCGCUCCCCUUCCCCCUCGCCUCCUCCACCUGCCGCGGGGGGCAAGGGCCGCCAGGCCGCUCCUCUCCCUCCGCUGGGUGGCCCUUCGCUCGCGGCGGCGUCUCCCUCCGAGGGGAGCGACAUCUCCAGUGUGGGCAUGGUGGUCUGCCCGUCCUCCUCCCCGCGUUUCCCGGCUCGUCCCCUCCUACGGAGCGGGACUCGGUGGCCUUGCCCCUCGGCGCCCCCCCGAUGUGCCGGCGGCGCCCGCGGAGGGGGAAAUGCCGCCUGUGGUGGAUCCCCCCUCCCCGGCCGCAGGUAUCCCCACCGCCUUGUCUCCUCCACGGCUAGGGGAUGCCCCGCCCUCGCCUCUGCCGCGGGAUGCCCCGGCUCCUGUCCCUGCGACCCUCCUCGCGCCACCUCCUCCGCCGGCUGCGUCGCCACCUCCUGCGCCACUCCUCCUCGGCUGUUCUGGGCCUGUUCAGCUGGCCUCUCCCUCACCGUCUCUGACGGGGGAGGGUGCGGCUCGCGUGCUCACUCCGAUGGCGGCCCAGCCCCCUCCCCCCCGUUCAGCCGCCUACUCCCGUCGCGGUAGGUCGACCUCCUGCCCGGUGGUUGCCUCCCGCCGGAGUGCGCGGCUGGAUGCUGCCCACCCUGAGGGCAGCCCAGCUCUGCCCAUCCCCGAGCGGGCGGAGCUCCGCGCUUCCGUCCGUAACCUGGAGCUAGGUACGCCCCCAUUCCCCCCUCUGCUCCGUCUUGUUCCUUCUCUGCGCUUGAGUCUAUUCCUUUGGGGAACCUCGCCAAAGUGGCCUCCGACUCCGCGAUCAUCUUCAGAGGGGAGGCUGGCCCCCCUUUAGUCCAGAUCGCGGCCAUCAGAGCUCGUGAGAUCCUUGAUGGGAAGCUUGCGGAGGCCCGUGCAGCCCUCCUUUUACCUCCGGCCGCUUCUGCGGUGGGGGUGUCUCCCACCCCGCUUGGUCCGCGGCGGACGGUGCCCCCCCUCCGGCGGCCGGGGCGGAGAUCCGUGGCCGUACUCGCUCCCGCACUGCGGCUCUUCGCGUGCAAAGCGCUUCUCGUGUUCUGGAGUCAAGCAGCCCCCCGAUGGCUCCUUAAUGCGAGCCCUCUUCUGGAACAUCCGCGGCUUCGGCCAUGAUGGUCGCCGCCGCCAACUUGUGAAGUACAUGCGGGAUGAGCACAUCGACAUCGUUGCCGUUCAGGAGACCAUGCGUCGCGACUUCUCGCUCCCUGAGCUCGACCGUUUGAGCUCCCACCUCUUUGCGUGGCACUGGCUCCCUUCUAGUGGGAGCUUAGGCCACUCGGGUGGCUUCCUUUUAGGUGUGAAGGAUGCCACCUUCGAGGUGGGCAGCAUGGAUCGGGGGGAAUUCUUCGUCAGCAUGGAAUUAUUCGAGAGAUCUCUCAACUUCAAGUGGGAGAUCAUCAUUGUCUACGGGCCUGCCAACCAUAGUCGGUCGGCCGCCUUCCUUGAGGAGCUCCACCGGAAGAUCUCGGCUGCCUUCCUCCACGUGGUAGUGGGUGGCGACUUUAACCUGCUGCGCGUGGCGGAAGACAAGAGCAACGACAAUGUCUGCUUUGCCCGGAUGCAGUUGUUUAAUGACUUCAUUGCUGACCUCGCCCUCCGGGAGAUUGAUAGGAUUGGUGCCCGGUUCACCUGGACCAAUCGGCAAGCCUCCCCGACCCAGUCCAUCUUGGACAGGGUCUUAGUGUCCCCGGAGUGGGACCUCCGUUGCUCCCUAGCCUCUCUCCGCGCCAUCACUAGGAUUGGCUCGGAUCAUGUCCCCCUUCUUCUCUCCUCUGCGGAUGAGCGUCCGCCGAUCCCCCUCGUUUCCGCUUUGAGACCUUCUGGCUCUCCCAGUCUGGAUUUACCGACACCGUCUGCGCGCGGUGGAUCGAGGCUCGGGCCCACCCCCACCCUCGGCCCCCCUCGGCUAUUGACGCGUGGCACUUCUAUGCGAAACAUGGCAGGCGGUUUAUGAAGGGAUGGGGGGGCAACCUUGGCUGCGAUGCCAGGGAGCGUAAGAAGGCGAUGCUUACCGCGAUCCAGGCCCUUGACCUUAGGGCCGACAUGGUGGGUCUCUCUCCGGACGAGUGGUUGUCCCGCUAUGACCUCGAAGACCAACUCUUUGUGAUCUACACCGAUGAGGAGGCUUAUUGGUGCCUUCGGGGCGCGCAGAAAUGGGUCCUGAAGGGUGACGCGAAUACUGCAUUCUUCCAGGCUAUCGCCAACGGCCGCCGUAGAUGCAACACCACCCCCCUUCUCUGGGAUGGGGAGACCCUCCUCCAGGACCCCCGCGACAUCCGGACCCAUGUCGACGGCUUCUAUAGGUCCCUUUUCUCUGCCGCUCCUCGGAGCGGCAUCUCCCUCGCCCCUGAUUGUUGGGCCGGUCUCCAGCUAGUGUCUGACUUGGAGAACGCGGCCUUGACGGCCCCCUUCUCUGAGGAGGAGGUCUGGGAGGCUAUCAAGGGUAUGAAUGCGUCUUCUGCUCCGGGCCCGGAUGGACUCCCAGUCAUCUUCUUCCAGACCUUCUGGAACGUGAUUAAACCAGAAGUCAUGGCCAUCUUCAAGGAAUUGUUUGUUGGCUCUAUUGACCUGGGGAGCCUCAACUACGGGAUCAUCUCUCUCAUCCCCAAGGUCCCUGGGCAUCUGACAUCCGGCAGUUCCGGCCGAUCACGAUCAUUAAUGUGAUCUUCCGGAUCCUGGCCAAAGGGUACGCCAAUAGGGUGACCCUGCUUGCUGACCGGAUAACCCACCCUAACCAGUCGGCCUUCCUUAAGGGCCGAUAUAUCCUAGAUGGAGUCCUGGUCCUUCAUGAAGUCCUUCACGAGGUCCGGGUCAAACGCCUUAAGGCGGUCUUUCUGAAGAUCGAUUUCCACAAAGCCUAUGACUCUGUUAGCUGGACCUUCCUCAGGGAAGUCCUUCUUCGGAAGGGCUUUGAUGACCGGUGGAUCACUAGAGUCAUGCAAAUGGUCUCUUGCGGUCGCACGACGGUUAACAUCAAUGGCGAGAUUGGUCCUUUCUCCCCUACCCUUUGUGGGGUGCGCCAAGGCGACCCCUUCUCCCCGUUCCUGUUCAAUAUGGUAGUGGACGCUCUUGCCUCCAUCCUUGAUAAGGCAAAAGCCGCUGGCCACAUCCGUGGGAUUACCCCACACCUUUCUGGGGGCUCGGGGAUCUCCAUCCUCCAGUAUGCUGACGACACGAUCAUUAUGGUCGAAGUCUCGGAGGUGGACAUCGCCAACCUCAAGUUCCUCCUUCUCUGCUUCCAAUAGAUGUCGGGCCUCAAGAUCAACUUUGAGAAGAGUGAUGUCAUGGUUAUGGGAUAUUCCCCCUCUGAGUCUAUGGCCAUCGCCAACAGACUUAAUUGCCGCCUGGGCUCUUUCCCCACCUCCUACCUGGGGACACCCAUUAGUGACUCGCGACUCUCCGUCGCGGACCUGCGGCCCUCCAUGACUAAGCUCCAAUCCCGUUGCGAGCCCUGGCAGGGGAGAUGGCUAUGUAAGGCGGCCCAGACUAUUCUCAUCAACUCUUCCCUCUCCAGUCUUCUUCUGCUCCUUAUGAAUUUCUACAGCCUCCAUGAAUCUCUCCACAAGGAGAUCGCCAAAUUUCAGUCCCGCUUCUACUGGGCUGGCGAGCAUGAUAAGCAGAAGUACCACAUGGUCAGCUGGCCUGACAUCUGCAAGCCCAGGGAGCAAGGUGGUCUGGGCAUCAUGUGCUCUAAAAGGAUGAAUAUUGCCGUUCUCUCCCGUUGGCUCUGGCGCAUCGCCCAGGGUCAAGGUGGCCUCUGGCUCGACAUUAUCCGGAAUAAAUACCUGCGGGGUCAGCCCCUAGCCUUCUGCCAGAAAUCGGGCGGCUCUCAGUUCUGGGAGUCUAUUGUCUAGCUUCUCCCGGUGCUCCGCAUUGGGACCUCCAUCUCGGAGGGAUCCAGCCUCUCGACGCUUUUCUGGUUUGAUCAUUGGGCCGGAGACUCUCCCUUUGCGGCCCGCUUCCCCGCCCUCUUCUCUAUCUCCGUCGACCCCACGAUUUCGGUCAAUAGGGCCCUUCUUGACUUAGGGCGCCUUGCUUUCCGUCGGCCUUUUGGGCCGGCGGAAUCCGCCGCCUGGCGUGAGUUGCUUGAUUGCGUUGUGUUGCAUGAGCCAUUGGUGGAUGGCAGACCGGACCUUGUGCGGUGGCGUCUGGAUCCGUCGGGCUUGUUCUCCACCAAGUCGCUAUACCCGGCCAUUGCCCCAUCCUCCGUUCCCCUCCCCCUAUCGAUGGUGUGGUCCGUCCGCGUUCCCCUGAAGAUCCGCAUAUUCAUGUGGCAGUGGAUUCGCGGCCGGGUCCCGUCUGGAGUGGAGGUCUGCAAGCGCAAUGGCCCGGGCACCGGUAUCUGCCCGCUCUGUGGAGUCCCUGAAGACUCGAACCAUAUCUUCUUCUCCCGCGUCUCCGCCCAGUUCCUCUGGAGCUGCUUUCGCGAGGUGGUCAGUGGUAGUUGGUGCCACACCAAUUUCCCGGACCUUUUUGCUGAACUCCAGUUGUCCCACGCGUCCUCUCGCCACAUUAGGUGGCUUGAGGUUGGCGUUCUCGCCUGGACUCUUUGGACCGUUCGCAAUAAGCUUGUGAUUCAGCACGCUCCCCUUCGUCGCGCUACUGACGCUCUCUACAAAUUCUCGGGUUUCUUGCAGCUUUGGCGGCCGCUUAGCCGCCCCCCGGACCGUGACGCCAUCUCCGCCUUCAUCGCCGACAUCCGUUCGAUGGCCGUCCGCCUGUCGCCGCCGCCCCCGCCGCCUCCGCCGGAUCCUGACUAGACGCCUUGUGUUUGGUGUGUGGGUGUUGUUUUUCUUUUCCUUUUGGGCUUGUUGAGCUGUGCCCUCAGCAGAACCUAUGUACUUUGUCGUGAGUCUUGGGUGGGUGUGUGUGGACUUGCUUCGGUUUGUAUGCUCUGUGGCGGUUUGUUUUAUUUAUAAAGCGGGGCGAAAGCCUUUUUCGGUAAAGGGAAAAUUUUUAGGUACUUCUGCUAUAAAGUGCGAAGGCGUUACCGACCCGGCAACAUUGGAGGCACUUGCUUGCUGAGAAGCUCCUUUUUCCGGCGUUGGAUCUCGCUCUGUCACAUAUAAUAGUGUCGGAUUGUCAAGAGGUCGUCAAGAACAUCAAGAACAAUGCAGGAGGUUUGUACGGCAGUAUUAUCAAGGAGAUCAUAGCUACUUCCAUCUCAGUUUAUAGCAUGUCCUUUCAUCUUUGAAGGACGUGAGAAAACAAUGAGGCUCAUAGCCUCGCUAAGCACGCUUUAGGCCUUUUUUUGGGACCCCAUCUGUGGUCCUUCAUCCUUCAGACGUCAAAUGUAUUCCAAUUUAUUUGCCUACGAUGAUUAAUAAAGUGUGUUUAGACUAAAAAAGGUGGACCACGAUUCCUAAGGAAAAGCAAAUAGGCUACUGCGAAGAAGAAAAUGAAUCAUAGUCUUUUUUUUGAAUACUUUGGAUUGCUUACCGUUCACAAUACUGCAUCAAAUUAUAGAUGGAUCAUGGCUAACAGCUCAAACUAAACCGUCCACAACGAAUUUAGGGACGGAUGGAUCAUGGAUGGUUACAAUACUGCAUGAGAUUAUAGGCACAAGCCUCAUGCCCAGCUUUGUUGGAAUUUAAAGGAAAAAGAAGCAAAAAAAAAAAAAGACGCGCCAGGUAGGGGUCGAACCUACGGCCUUCCGCUUAGGAAACGGACGCUCUAUCCACUGAGCUACAGGCGCUGCUAUUUCAGAAUGUAAUGAGAUACUUUCUAGAAAGAACGUGGCAAGUGGCAACUGAAUUUCACAAAAGAUGAAUACCGUCCCUGUCUUUUGAUUUAAUUUUGAACUAGUAAAACUAAACGAAUAUGUGUUUGUUUGUCACAGGGAACGAGACAUUGCAAAAGCUAGGGACGAUCGAAACACUGUAGAACAUGAUGUGUACCUGAGGAUGGUGUACCACAUGCCGAGUGUCAACACUACCACCCUCCUCAACAUCUUCACUAGCUUGAGCAGUCUUGCCACCGUCUUUGGUGCCUACGUCAGUGAUACUUACCUCGUCCGCUGCACGCCAUCGCCGCCGCCGCCGCCGCCCCCUCCUUCAUUGGCAUGUUCAUCCUCACCACCAUUGUUGUGAUCCACGCCGACCACCCUCCAGCGUGCACGUGUGGCACCUGGGCUCAGGGAACCAUAUGUGCCCUGCAUACCAGCCCAAGGACCAACGUCUUCUGGUACACAGUGCACAUCGAUGGAGCUGAACGACGUCGUUCACGUGAUGGAAUUGAAGGAGAAGUCCCUCCUGACCCCGCAAAUCGACGAGAAUGAGAUGGAGAUCAAGGGGACUAGAUCUUGGACGCCUUCGCCGCCUCCCUCGAGACAUGGCGCCAGGAGGAGGUGUGGAGGGUAGCUCAUGAGAAGGAGAUGUGGUGGGUCAUCAAGAAUUUGGACAGGGCCGGUCCUGAGAUUUCGGGGCCGGGGCGAAAUAAAAUUGGGGGCCCUUAAUAUACAAGUCAUUAUAAUUAUAUAUGUGUGUGUCUAUAUAUAUAUUUGUCUCAAGAAAAGGUAUACAUAAAUUAUUAUUAAUAAUACUUAAGUGCAUCCAGAAUCAAUAUGCAUAUCAAAUAAUUUAUACAUAUUACCUUAAAAAUUUCUUCUAACAUUCCUCGAUGCAAAGUCACUUAUGAUGGGGUCGAUGUCAGUUUCAUCUAAUAAUUUCUUCUCGAUGCAUAACGUAGCCAAACCAUUUAACCUCUUUUGAGUCAUUGUAGACCCCAGAUAAUUCUUCAAUAAUUUCAACUUCAAAAAGGUUCUUUCGGCCUAUACGACCGUCACAAGCACAUUAAAUAAGACGCGAUAGGCAAUGGAGAUAUUUGGAUAGCAAUCAACUUCUCUGACAUGCCCGAAAAUCUCCAUAGCACACAUUACGCCAUCUGGCAAAGUGAAUAUCAUAAUAUUCAAUUCAGAAAUAAGAUCGUAUACCUCAACAUCAGAUGAACCAUUAAGAGAGAAAGUUUCUGCAAAUUUUGUGCAACACUCUUCAAGUUCAUUGUCACUUAAUGACUUCAGGGUGCCCGAGCUCAAUAAAAAUCCGAAUAUAUCCUUAAACACCAUGAGUUCUUUAAAUCUGUCAUUCAAAGAAGUGAUUGCCACAUCAACCAAAGCAUUAAAAUACUUAACUCGGAAAGCCUUCUCAGCUUCUAGAAUUUCUUCUUGACAAUCACUUUCGUCCUACUGUUUCUUCCUCUUAGCACGACGUUUCACUGGAAAAUAUGGCUAUAUUCCCAUUUCAAUUGCAAUAACUUUAGCGAUGCUCAAACUUGAAGAAAACUCCUCAUCUCUGUACUUUUCAAAAUAUUGUGUUAUACCUUUUAUUUGCUUUAAAGCGGAGUCAAUGCACAUGCACUAGUAGAAAACAGGGCAUUUGUCCCGGUUGGUGAGGGCCUUUUGUUCCGGUUCUUGAAUCGGGACUAAAGGGUCGUUAUUAAUGCCUCCCCCUUUAGUCCCGGUUCCAACAAGAACCGGGACAGAUGGUCCUCCACGUGGACGGUGCGCCGAGCCCAGGCAGUAGGGCCUUUGGUCCCGGUUGGUGGCACCAACCGGGACCAAAAGGCAUCCACGCGUCAACAUUUCAGUGGCUGGGGUUUUUGUUUUUUUGAAGGGGGGGGGGUUGGGGGUUUUGGGCGGUUAAUUUAGGUGUUUCAUAUAUUGUGUUAGCUAACUAAUUAAUAAAGAGAAGUGUCCUCUCUUAUGUACGUGCUUGGUCGACGCUACGUAUUGUACAUAGAGAGGCCCUCGACACGCUAGCUAGUAAGAAAAUGAAGGGAACCAUUAAGUACAGAAGUUCGUCAUGCAUACCGAGAGAAGUGAUCGAUCAACCUCUCCUUCUCCGAGAGAUUGGUCGAACAACAAGUUUUCAUAUUAUCUAUCUGAUGCUACUGGUUACAUACAUAUACAAUAUGUAAGAUAUCUUACAAUCCCCUAGCAAUUGAAAUCAACUUCCACAUGAUAUUCUCCGGCUUUAUUGAUGACGUGGUCAAGAAAGAAUCCCGCCAAUUCCUCUUGAAUUGCUUUCAUGCGAUCUUGUUCUAGGAGUUCAUCCCGCAUCUGCCACGUCUAAUUUGAAGAAGGGGGUUAAUACAUAUAUGAAUGAAACUCAACAGAAAUGAUGGUGUAAUAAAAUGAAAUUGUGAAUAUUAUUGCUUACGCACUUCAUAUUGUCUUUUAGAGUAGCCCCGCUUAUUUUUUAAAGUCGCGUUGUAGAUGAACUCGCACACGUAGUAUCCACAGAAAUCAUUCCCUUGUUCCUGCCACAAGCACUUUACGAGAAAUAGAGGUCAAUCAAACUGAUAAUGAAGCAUUAUAAAUGGCAUUGAUGAAAGUACAGCUAUAGAAACAACGGGAGAUGCGCGCAACUAGCUAGCUAGUAGUACUUACUUUCGGGUAUGUAUAUUGCAGCUCCUUCGGCAGUCCCGGAACUUCUGCGGUGAACUGUUUCCAAACCCUGCAAGACAAAGAAAAUAAUUAUUAUUACUUGAGAUAUCAGGAAAUGAACAAAAAGUUGUCGAUAUGGUGCGAUAAUUAUCUAUUGAACUUACUUGUUGAGCAAAUUAGUCAUGUCCGCAUAGGUUUGGGGAUCUUUUCGUCUCGAGUCUAAGACGUUUACUACUCCCCGCUCAAGCUUAAUCUCCAGAAGAACAUAGUGGUACCUGCGCACGCAUGCAUAACUCAUCAAUUACAUUACUAUAAACUCGCUCGAGUAAUAAGGGAAAUCGAAUAUGCACAUUGGUGGAUGCUGAUCGGGAUCUUGUCCCUAACAAGAACCCCGCACUAAGCAGCAAAUGCGUUCUUUGUCUGGAUGGCUUCAAUCAGUACGCCAUCGCGCACGAUUGCUGUGAUCUCAAACCUUUCAUCCGAGCUCAGCUUUUUCUUUGGGACUCGUCUCCUUACCGAAGUUGUGCUCGAUCCAGAGGGCUAGAAAAAAGAAGAAAGACAAGAGUUAAUUAAUAUGUGUACAUAUACCAAAACAAUGAAUGCAUCAACUAGCUAGUCAGCACAGGCUUAACUAAUAUAUAUACCUGGCCAGACUCGGUUCGGUCACCGGAGCCGUCAUCACGGUCUCCUUGCACCGUCAUUGGGUCACCGGAGCUGUCCUCAUGGUCUCCUUCUUGCACCGGCAUUGGGUCAAAGGAGCCAUCAUAAUUGCCUGCUUCUUCACCCAGUCCUUCCAGACCAUCGGUGUCGUUCAGAAACGAUAAGACGACAUCACUUCCAUGUGCGAUUAUCUCCUCCAACAUCACUUCUGUUGCUACGUCUCGGGGGGUGUCCAUAGUUUCUACAAAUAUUUACAACAUGGCAAUUAUUAUUCAAACAUGACAGAUAUGGAAUCAUAUUAAUUAGUGGCCUCGACGCUGCUUCUCUAGGGUUUGGGGUGGCCUCGACAAUGCUUCAAGGGGGUAAUAUCGACAAUGACGAGAUACAUACACGGCAAAAUAAAUGUUAUCGGGGAGGGGGUAUAUCGACCCCCCCCAUGUGUUGAAGUUAACAUGAGGGGGUAUAUCGACCCCCCCCCCACGUGUUGAAGUUAUCGGGAGGGGGUAUAUCGACCCUCCCUCACGUGUUGAAGUUAUCGGGAGGGGUUUAUAUCGACAACGACGACAUACGUACAUGGAAAAAUAAUAUUAUCGGGGAGGGGGUAUAUCGACCCCCCCCCACGUGUUGAAGUUAUCGGGAGUUUGUAUCAACACGACAUACGUACAUGGGAAAAUAAUAUUAUCGGGGAGGGGGUAUAUCGACUGCCCCCCACCUCGUGUUGAAGUUAUCGGGAGGGGUAUAUCGACGACGACAGAGGAGAAGAUCGAAGAAAAAAAAGAAGAAAGAAAGAGGAGAAGAAGAAAGGAAUAGAGGGAGAAGAAGAAAAAAUAGAAUAAUUCUACUUUUUCUUCUUCUCCCUCUAUUCCUUUCUUCUUCUCCUCUUCUUUUUCUUCUUUUUUCCUCUUCUUAUUUAUUUCUCCUCUUCUUCCUCUCCUCUUCUUCCCCUUUCUUCCUCUUCUUAUUUUCCUUUUCCCUCUCCUUCUUUUUCUUCUUCUUCUUCCUUCUUCCUUCUUCCUCUUUUCUUCCUUUUACUUAUUUUACUUUUUCCUCUACACUAACCUAAAAUGCACUAACCUAAAAUCAAUAUCUACUAAUAACCUAAAUAAAAAAUUAAUACAUAUAUGAAAAAACAUAUAUAAACAAAAAAUGCUAUGAACAUUAUAUUCAUACAUACAUCCACAUCCAUUCAUCAUAUAGCUACCACAUACAUAUAUACAUUAUAUAUAUGAAAAAAAUGCAAUGAACAAAAAAAUACACAUGUAUAUAUGAAAAAAAGCACACUACUGAACACAGAGCCCUAAUGGCGGCGGCUCACAUCGGGGGCGGCCGGCGAGGGCGACGGCGGGGGCGGCGAGGGUGUCGGCGACGACCACGGUAGGGGGCGCGGGCCGGGGCAGGGGCGUGGCCGGCGACGACGGCUACGAUGGGGGCCGGGCCGGGUCGUUGGGCAGGGNNNNNNNNNNGGACGGCGUCGGCGUGGGCUCGAGGGCGGCGGACGGCGCAGGCCGGGGCAGGGGCAUGGCCGGUGACGACGGUGACGGUGGGAGGCAGGUCGUGGGGCAGGGGCGCGAACGGGAGCGCUCGGGGUGGCGGACGACGUGGGCGUGGGCUCGGGGGCGGCGGACGGCGUCGGCGUGAGCUCGGGGGCACGGACGACAGCGACAGCGGCAGGGCAGCCUGGCGGCGUCGAGGAGGUCGGCGUCGCCGGGGGCAACUGGGGAUGAAAUUCUGAAUUUUUGCAAAGUGUUUGCUUAUAUAGCGAAGCCUUUAGUCCCGGUUCAUGCCACCAACCGGGACUAAUGCACCCUUUAGUCCCGGUUGGUGCCGCCAACCGGGACCAAAGGCCUCUUUUCAGCAGCCCAAAGGGUGGGAAGCGGCGGCCUUUAGUCCCGGUUAGUGGAACGAACCGGGACUAAAGGGGGGCAUUGGUCCCGGUUGGCGCCACGAACCGGGACCAAAGGGUGGCAUUGGUCCCGGUUUGUUGCACCAACCGGGACCAAUGGCCUUGCACAGCGGCGUGGUGGUGAGAGUUUAGUCCCACCUCGCUAGUUGAGAGCGCCCUGCACUUGUUUAUAAGCUCCGCUGCCUCUUCCCACUCGAACUCCUCUGAACUGCAGGCCUAUGGGCCUAAUUUGACAUUGCUUUGCCUAUGGGCCUGCUGGGCCUUCUACGGGCCGGAAUCCUGGCCCAUGGUAGGGUUUCUAGUCGUAUUCAGGCCAUGGGGGCCCAGUAGGAGGCACUUUUUUGUUUUUUUGUUUUCUUUACUUAUUGUUGCUAUUAUUAUUAUUUUUUCUAGUUUUUUUGUUUUGUUUUCUGCAUUAUUUAUUUUCUUUUGUUUUUCGCUUUAUUUUUUAAUUCCUUUUGCUUUUAAUUUUAGGAAAAUUACAANNNNNNNNNNNNNNNNNNNNNNNNNNNNNNNNNNNNNNNNNNNNNNNNNNNNNNNNNNNNNNNNNNNNNNNNNNNNNNNNNNNNNNNNNNNNNNNNNNNNNNNNNNNNNNNNNNNNNNNNNNNNNNNNNNNNNNNNNNNNNNNNNNNNNNNNNNNNNNNNNNNNNNNNNNNNNNNNNNNNNNNNNNNNNNNNNNNNNNNNNNNNNNNNNNNNNNNNNNNNNNNNNNNNNNNNNNNNNNNNNNNNNNNNNNNNNNNNNNNNNNNNNNNNNNNNNNNNNNNNNNNNNNNNNNNNNNNNNNNNNNNNNNNNNUAAACUUUCUGUUAGUGCCAUUGGAAACACUUUUUUUGUUUUUUGUUUUCUUUGUUGCUUUAUUUAUUUUAUUUUGUUUCUACUUACAACAAAAUACUCAUUGUUGCUAUUUUUAUUUUGUUUCCAGUUUUUUUGUUUUGUUUUCUACAUUAUUUAUUUUCUUUUUUUUGCUUUAUUUUUAAUGCUUUUUGCUUUUAGGUCAGCAAAAUUAUAAACUUUUUGUUAGUGCUAUUAGUUUUCAAAUUUGAAUAGUUAAAAUUUGAAUUCUUUGAAAUUUGUGUGAAUCACAGGUUUGUGAUUAACUUAACUAAAAAAAUGAACAUAGAUGCGCCUAUACAAAAAAUCAACCUAAAUUCAUAAUAAAUUUCUAUGAAUUUCAGAGAAAUUCACUAUGAAUUUAGGUCAAAUUCCCUAUAUAGGGGCAUCUAUUUUCACUUUGAGAGGAGCUCAACAAGGCAGAGAGGGACGGACUUAUAAACCGGUGUGAGCGCCCUUCGGUUGGCGAGGUGGGACUAAACUCUGAGCGCAACGAGGACCAACCCUUUAGUCCCGGUUUGUGCUACAAACCGGGACUAAUGGUCAUGGGCCAGGGGCGAGGCGCAUUGGGCGCAGUUCGUGCGUGGAACCGGGACCAAAAGUGAAGGAAAUAUGCCCUAGAGGCAAUAAUAAAGUUAUUAUUUAUUUCCUUAUUUCAUGAUAAAUGUUUAUUAUUCAUGCUAGAAUUGUAUUAACCGGAAACAUGAUACAUGUGUGAAUACAUAGACAAACAUAUAGUCACUAGUAUGCAUCUACUUGACUAGCUCAUUAAUCAAAGAUGGUUAUGUUUCCUAACCAUAGACAUGUGUUGUCAUUUGAUUAAUGGGAUCACAUCAUUAGGAGAAUGAUGUGAUUGACAUGACCCAUUCUGUUAGCCUAGCACUUGAUCGUUUAGUAUGUUGCUAUUGCUUUCUUCAUGACUUAUACAUGUUCCUGUAACUAUGAGAUUAUGCAACUCCCAUUUACCGGAGGAACACUUUGGGUACUACCAAAUGUCACAACGUAACUGGGUGAUUAUAAAGGAGUACUACAGGUGUCUCCGAAGGUACAUGUUGAGUUGGCGUAUUUCGAGAUUAGGUUUUGUCACUCCGAUUGUCGGAGAGGUAUCUCUGGGCCCUCUCGGUAAUGCACAUCACUAUAAGCCUUGCAAGCAAUGUAGCUAAUGAGUUAGUUACGGAAUGAUGCAUUACGUAACGAGUAAAGAGACUUGCCGGUAACGAUAUUGAACUAGGUAUUGGAUACCGACGAUCGAAUCUCGGGCAAGUAACAUGCCGAUGACAAAGGGAACAAAGUAUGUUGUUAUGCGGUUUGACCGAUAAAGAUCUUUGUAGAAUAUGUAGGAGCCAAUAUGGGCAUCCAGGUUCCGCUAUUGGUUAUUGACCAAGAAUAGUUCUAGGUCAUGUCUACAUAGUUCUCGAACCCGUAGGGUCCGCACGCUUAAGGUUUCGAUGACAGUUAUUUUAUGAGUUUAUGAGUUUUGAAAUGGUCGAGACAUAAAGAUCGAUAUAUUGGACGACUAUAUUCGGAGUUCGGAAAGGUUCCGAGUGAUUCGGGUAUUUUUCGGAGUACCGGAGUGUUACGGGAAUUCGCGGGGAGAAGUAUUGGGCCUUAUUGGGCCAUACGAGAAAGAGAGAGGGGCUUCCUAGGGCAGGCCGCGCGCCCCCCAAGGCCUAGUCCGAAUUGGACUAGGGGGAGGGGCCGCACCCCCUCUUUCCCCCUUCUCCUACUCCAACAAGUAAGGAGGGAGUCCUACUCCCGGUGGGAGUAGGACUCCCCUUGGCGCGCCUCUCCCUGGCCGGCCGCCUCCUCCCCUUGCUCCUUUAUAUACGGGGGCAGGGGGGCACCCCAUGACACACAAGUUGAUCUACGGAUCGUUCCUUAGCCGUGUGCGGUGCCCCCUUCCACCAUAUUCCACCUCGGUCAUAUUGUCGCGGAGUUUAGGCGAAGCCCUGCACCGGUAGAACAUCAUCAUCGUCACCACGCCGUCGUGCUGACGGAACUCAUCUCCGGAGCCUUUGCUGGAUCGGAGGGCCGGAGAUCGUCAUCGAGCUGAACGUGUGCUGAACUCGGAGGCCCCGUACGUUUGGUGCUUGGAUCGGUCGGAUCGUGAAGACGUACGACUACAUCAACCGCAUUGUGUUAACGCUUCCGCUUACGGUCUACGAGGGUACGUGGACGAACACUCUCCCCUCUCGUUGCUAUAUCAUCACCAUGAUCUUGCAUGUGCGUAGGAAAGUUUUGAAAUUACUACGUUCCCCAACAGUGGCAUCCGAGCCUAGGUUUUAUGCGUUGAUGUUAUAUGCACGAGUAGAACACAAGUGAGUUGUGGGCGAUACAAGUCAUACUGCUUACCAACAUGUCAUACUUUGGUUCGGCGGUAUUGUGAGAUGAAGCGGCCCGGACCGACAUUACGCGUACGCUUACGCGAGACUGGUUUCACCGUUACGAGCACUCGUGCUUAAAGGUGACUGGCAGGUGUCUGUCUCUCUCACUUUAGCUGAAUCGAGUGUGGCUACUCCCGGUCCUUGCGAAGGUUAAAACAACACCAACUUGACGAACUAUCGUUGUGGUUUUUGAUGCGUAGGUAAGAACGGUUCUUGCUAAGCCCGUAACAGCGACGUAAAAUUUGCAACAACAAAGUAGAGGACGUCUAACUUGUUUUUGCAGGGCAUGUUGUGAUGUGAUAUGGUCAAGACGUGAUGCUAUAUUUUAUUGUAUGAGAUGAUCAUGUUUUGUAACCGAAGUUAUCGGCAACUGGCAGGAGCCAUAUGGUUGUCGCUUUAUUGUAUGAAAUGCAAACGCCCUGUAAUUGCUUUACUUUAUCACUAAGCGGUAGCGAUAAUCGUAGAAGCAAUAGAUGGCAUAACGACAACGAUGCUACGACGGAGAUCAAGGUGUCGCGCCGGUGACGAUGGUGAUCAUGACGGUGCUUCGAAGAUGGAGAUCACAAGCACAAGAUGAUGAUGGCCAUAUCAUAUCACUUAUAUUAAUUGCAUGUGAUGUUUAUCCUUUAUGCGUCUUAUCUUGCUUUGAUUGACGGUAGCAUUUUAAGAUGAUCUCUAACUAAUUAUCAAGAAGUGUUCUCCUUGAGUAUGCACCGUUGCGAAAGUUCUUCGUGCUGAGACACCACGUGACGAUCGGGUGUGAUAGGCUCUACGUUCAAAUACAACGGGUGCAAAACAGUUGCACACGCGGAAUACUCAGGUUAUACUUGACGAGCCUAGCAUAUACAGAUAUGGCCUCGGAACACGGAGACCGAAAGGUCGAGCGUGAAUCAUAUAGUAGAUAUGAUCAACAUAUUGAUGUUCACCGUUGAAACUACUCUAUCUCACGUGAUGAUCGGACAUGGUGUAGUUGAUAUGGAUCACGUAAUCACUUAGAGGAUUAGAGGGAUGUCUAUCUAAGUGGGAGUUCUUUAGUAAUAUGAUUAAUUGAACUUAAAUUUAUCAUGAACUUAGUCCUGGUAGUAUUUUGCAAAUUAUGUUGUAGAUCAAUAGCUUGCAUUGUUGCUUUCAUAUGUUUAUAUGUUCCUAGAGAAAAUUGUGUUGAAAGAUGUUAGUAGCAAUGAUGCGGAUUGGAUCCGUGAUCUGAGGUUUAUCCUCAUUGCUGCAUAGAAGAAUUAUGUCCUUGAUGCACCGCUAGGUGACAGACCUAUUGCAGGAGUAGACGCAGACGUUAUGAACGUUUGGCUAGCUCAAUAUGAUGACUACUUGAUAG